AUAACUCAAUAGAAAUAUAGAACUGUCGUAUAGUUGAAGGUAUUGAACCCUAACCCUAAGCGCCUCACUGUAGUCACUCACACUCUACAUUACAAAUCAGCCUAAGCCUCACAAAAUUUCUUAAUUGAAAAAAAUCCAGAGCCCUUACAGCAUCACAGCUGAGGGAAACCCUACGUCAACAAACUCGACAGUCGUCAAUCAACUGUCGUUGCAAGCUACUGGUUGCUCAACAAGCGCCAAUUUCUCACUCAAUAGCCGUCACUCAAACGCUGCCAUUUCCUAUUCAUUAUUUGCUUUAUCUAAAUUAAAAAAAUCAAAAUCACUUGAAUGAUGUUGGGCUACGAGAACAUGAGGAGCAAAUAUGUCGACAAAUUCGAGGUAGAUUUGGAAGGCGGAGAGGGGGAAACGCUUUACCCCAGUCUCAGCUACGGAGAGAACCUGCUCUGAUGGGGUUUCAUUCGCAAGGUGUGCGAAAUCUUGACGGCCCAGAUCGUUUUGACCACCUUGGUCUCCUCAAUCACUGUUCUUUACACUCCCGUCAAUGAUCUUCUCAAGGGCAAUUCUAGCCUUCUCCUCUUCCUCCCUGUCCUCCUCUUCAUCCGUACGUUUCAUUUCGCUUAAUUCAUUAUGCGAAUUGGUUAUCUUAGUAAUUUUGUUAAUUUAAUAUUUUGCCGAAUUUUAUGUGUGUACUGAAAUUAGGUAGGUAUAUACUUGGGAAUGCUGUUAAUUGAUGAUUAGCACAAACGGUUUCUUUUGUUUGGUUUGUGUUGUCCUUAUUGAUUCUAUCGUGCUGAGUUUGCUUGGUUGGGAUUUUGAUAGAAUUUUCAAGUGAUGCUUGAAUCCUUAGUACAUGUUUACUUGAAUAUGAUUCGUUGCCUUCACAUUAUAUGCGUUUUUUCAUUCUGCUAACAUAAUGGGAUUAUGUUAAAGGGGGGCUUAGAGUUUUAGUGAAUACAUAAGAAACUGCAUUGCAUCUGAGAUCUUGAUUAAGUCAAUUUGUUGCUUUGAGUAUUUGUACAUCAUUUGCUUGCAUUUGUGCAUGCUUUACAAGGAGUUGAAGACUUUAUACACCAAACUCCAUAUCUUGAUUUAUGAGGGAAAUUGGGCAAGCCCCAAUUAUGGCCUGGAAAUUAUCUAUGUUGUAAUUGUAUAACCACAUCCUUGGUGGAGCUAGUUGUCAGGAAACUAUUACAGAAAGAUGUGAACAUGUUUAUAAUCUUUUGGGUUGAAUAUGUUUCUUAUUCCAUAUGCUUCCAUCUCUUAAUAGUUGAAUUAGCAAUGAAAAUUUGGAAGUGGAAAAACUCACCCUACUGCACUUGUUUUGGGUGCUUGUCAUAGAUUAGAAUUUUACUACUUACACUUUAUUGUCUGUUAACUUAAUUUAGUUAGUAUGAACCUGCUUUAGCUCUGUGCUCUCGAAGAUUCAUAAGUGCUACUUGGCUUAGAUGUAAGAAAAUUAAGGUAUUAUGAUUCUUUUUAGUUUAUGAUGCUCAUGGAAUUUGCAUUAGAGAUGGUUGAAAUUGUUUGUUGCAUUAACUUUUAUGAUGGUGGGCCAUGGAAUUUCUAGUGUAAAGAAUGCUUACAUUUUCUUUUAGGAAUAUCAUCUACAAUAACAGGGGAGUAACAAAAGGUAAAAAUUGAAAAUUUGACUUCUCUUUAAUUUUUUUCCCAAAUUAAGGUAAAUAAUUUCAUUAUCUUUUUAUCUUUCUUGCAGUGUUAGUCCGGACAAUAUGAACAUUGCUCGAGUUAAUGUGUAAUCUCUUUUGUAUGCAUUUUUCUUCCCAGAAUUGCCAAUAGUGAAAUGCUUGCACUCAAAGACUACUUAAGGAUCAAAAUUGCUUUAAUUGAUCGUUCAACAGCUAGAAUCCAAAAAAAGCGUGCCGAUGGAUGUGUAGUUUGAAGGUUGCUUGGUCGAUGUUGAAGACUUGAAAAUUCAUUUGAAAGUCGUUGGAAUAUUUUUUGAACUUGAUUAUGGUGUUUAUUUUUUUACGGGAGACUGUAUACUAAAUUGGAAAAAAUUUUGUUUAGUUGAAUUGUUUGUUUGUAAUGAAUAAAUUGUGGGUAUUGAUUUAGAUGUCAAUUGUGGAAGCUUGGAUUUUUUAAUUUUUAAUUUAUAUUUUUUUAGAAUUAGUUAAAUAUAUAUAUAUAUAUAUAUAUUGGCGCCAAUUUCAAUAAAUCCCGCCAAAUAAUUAAAAUUUAUUUUAUUUACGGCCAAAAUAUAUUUUUAAAAAAUUUAAGUUAUUCCCACCAGAUCUAAUUAAAAUAAUUAAAUAAUUUUAUUAUUUCAAUUAAAUAUGUCAUGUUUAUAUGACAGAUAAAAAUUAUGAAUGGGAAGCGUUUAUGAUAGAUAUUAAUCAUGCGUGAAAAUUUUUCAUUAAAGCAACAAUAACAUAAUCGUGAUAGAUAAUAUGUCAUGCAUAACAUGACAUAUAAAAACUGUCAUUGUUUUUUCUUGACACCAGAAUCAAUGACGGUCGCUCAACUGUCAUGCCAUAGGGUAGAUGACAGGUAAUAAUCAUCAUAAAGGUCUUUUUUUUCUAGUAGUUUUGCUUAUCCCUAAUGCAAGUGAUAUAGAGGUCAAUUAUGUCAUGUAUUAAUAAUUUAAUAAGUGAGUCAAAUUCAAUGUAUAGACAUUAAUAAAUUAAUUAUUUUGUUGACCAAUUAUUAAGUGCCUAUGCUAACCAAUUAAUACAUACCCGCAAGUUGAAAAAUAUGGUUGCAACUUUAAAGAACAAAUCAUUGUCACAAGCAACUUUAGAAAGAUAUUUUGUUCCAUCUUAAUUAUUUAUUUUAGUUAUCCUUAUUUUUUUAUUUUAUCGCUAAAUUAAAAAUAAUUUCAUAUCAAUGUAUCAAGAAGUGUAUAAUAGUAAAUGAAAAAAAUAUUAGGAUUUUUAUUACCCUUUAUCUAUAGGGAGGAAACAAGUAAUUGCAAAUCUAGUUGGAAUGUAAAUAAUUAAAAAUGGAUCUUUCAAAGAUGAAACUUUUCCCCCAAUCUAAAUAAUAUUCAUUAUUUGUUUAUAGGGUAAAAACUCAUUUAGUCUCUAUAUUUUAAGAUUAGUGUCAAUUUAGUCCUUGUAAUUUGAAAAUGUCUCGAAACAUCACUGCCGUUAAAGUAUUGAUACACCUACCGUUACUUUUUAUUUUUUUUGGUUUACUUUUACAAUACUACCCUUUUAUAAUAAUUUUUUUGGACAUUAAUAAAAAGAAAAUAAUUAAAUUACCAAUUUAAUCCUAAAAAAAUAUAUUAAUUUUUUUGCAAGCACCAUUUGCACACUUGAUAGUUUGCAUACAAUUUUUGAUAAUUUAAAAUUAAUAUAAUUUUUUUUUAUUUUUUAGGGUUAAAUUGGUAAUUUAAUUAUUUUCUUUUUAUUAAUGUCCAAACAAAAAAAAUUAUUAUAAAAGUAUAAUAUUGUAAAAGUAAGCCAAAAUAAAUAAAAAUAUAUUUGUUUAUAUAUUAAUUUAUUGGUGCGAGGUUGCCACCUGCAAAGUAUUUUAUUUUCACAUUUAGAGGAGGCCGUUUUUUGACCUCAUUAAUAUAUAUUAAUUUUUUGGUGCAUGAUUAAAAGAAAUUUACAGAUAAUAAUUCUUGCUUUUAGAAUGAUUUAAAUGCCAUGCGUCACAAUAACUGUAGAUGCUUCAAAAAAAUUAGAUCAAGAUGAACCAUGCCCUCUAACCUUGUAAUAUGUAAGAAAAUAAUCCAAUAAAAAAAAAUUGCGAAUAUCUGCUAAUUAAAAGUUCAAUAGAAAUGUCUGACAACUUAAAAAAAAAAGAAUUAAAUUUCUUUUUUCCAUUUAUCGGAUUAGAGCCACCACAAGAAUUGAGGGUCGCGCAACCCUAUUUAACCUAAUAUACAUUCUCAAUCAAUAUGGAAGAACUAUGGCUUUAACUCGUGUAUUAUUGAUUUAAGUUGACAUAGCACCACCAAUUCUUGGAGUUCCCAGAAGAUUUUGGUUGCUCCAAGUUCGAUGAGUUUGUUAAAAUUUCUAUGCAUUGCACGGUAGACAAAAAGCAAUCAGAGAGAUAAUGAUAUAAGAAUAUCGAUUGCAAAUUCCUCAAUUAGACUAUUGUCUUAUUAAUGACAAAACAUGUUUGACAGAUCUUGUUCUUGUUGCUUGUCAAGUUUCUCAUUUAUCCGCUUUUGUUUUGUCAGCAUGUUAGCUAUGAAAACACUACCAGUGGAUCUCUUGAACUUCCCGGCCAUGGAAACCCUGGAUGCAAUUUUUAUUGAAGUUGGUAAGUUCGUUACCUUCUUCUUCUGCUCGAAAAUUGCCGUCAUUAGAAAACUCCAUGGUAACAUGAAAGCUCUUCAGAAAGAACUAUGUUGAAAGCAGCAGCAGUAGACAGUCAACAGUUGACCUCAGAGACACGUUGGCAUGCCACCUAAGCUACACCUAUCUGCAGCCAGCUAAUGAGAGAAAUGAGCUGGAUUUAAUGAGGUGGCAAAAUGGUUAUGCUGAGGAAUAUCAGCACAUGAGCAUCGAAGGAUGGAGAUUCUAGAAGCUCUACAUCAUUGGUUAAUGAUAGCUAUAUUCACGGAUCAAUUUUUUUUUGCUUAUUUCCAAGUGUUUGACAAAAAUAUAGCAUGCGCGCGCGCCCAUUUUGAAGAAGAAGGCAUUGCUUCCUUCUUUGACUGGAACAAAAGAAAAAUGGAGAAAUAAAAUAAGCAGCUACUGCUCGGAUGAUUUUGGUUUGUUGAAAAGAAUCUGUAAAGCAAAUUUAUACCUUCACAUACUCCUUACUUCACGAAUGAGUACGACCGCGUUGAAACGUCUAAUAAAUGUUAUUGUUCAUAAAUAACAGGAAACUAAGGCCACUAAGUCAUCUCCAGCAAUACUUACCCUCUCAUCUAGGGGACUUAAAAAGAUUGACGCAGCUAUCCUCAAAGUUGACUUGAUGCAUUAGUUAAAUCAUCAGUAUAUCAUUUUCAAAAUAUAUUAAUCAUUUUCAUAUAACUUUCAUAUUCAUUUCAGUCUAAUGUCACUGCACCUAGAGUGUAUAUCCCGAAUAGCAAGAUAAUAAAUUUGAACGUAACAAAUUAAUCGUGGAGCCAGAUCCUCUAUAGAUGCGGUGGCCGGCACCUCCGUGGCAUAUGUCAUCAUGUAUCUGGUAUUGCUGGCCUUCUCAAAGUCUCCAUACUGAGUAGUGUACGUCAGUAAUCAGGUCUGCAAUCAUGAUACCACGGGUGUAAAAUUACUCUUUUCAACAUAAAUCAAUGUGACCCUUCUUGUAGUGGACUAUGCACAUAUCCAUUUCUUUUGCAGCUGAAGCAACUGAUACAACAAAAACAAGGCAGUCGUCGUUUGCUUAUGGUGCAGGACAUGCGAAUCCAUAACAUUCAGUGCUAGCACUGCGUUUGUACCUUAGCAUGUUAGCAUGAUACAGUGGAGCACAAGAAUAAUGUUAGCAUGAUGAAGUGGUGCACCAGAAUAAUCACGACUUGCCAUUUGUCAGUUUCUAAUAUGUCCCUUUUUGGGACCAUCCAUACAAUCCACAACAUUUAAAAUAAAGAAUUUGUGGGUCCUUUUGAGGGAUCUAUGAUUAGUAUUAAAAAUUGUUUAAUUAUCAAGCGAUAAUAUGUUAUUUUAUGCUUAUGUUAUAAUUUAUAUUUGUGUUUAUGUAAUAUAUUAUGAAUUAUUAAUUAUGUUUUAAAUAUAUUUAAUUUUGUGUAUUUUUAUGUGUUUAUUAGGAAAAUUAUUAAUUUCACGUACUUCGAGGCUCCAAACAGAUAAACGGAGGUCAAAUUUGGAUUCCGGAGGUCCGAAAACCUUAAGAUCAGUCAAGAUCGGCUUAAAAUUGGGCUUGUGUAAAAAAAGUUGACUUUUCCUGUUGACCGAGCACUGAUUGGAUGAUGAAAUGAGCUUACAAUAGAUAUGAGUGCAUGGGAUAACUGGCAAUCUUGACCAAAUCUCAACCGUUCAUGAUUCAAUGGCCAUGAUUGUGCCACGUGGCAAUGGUUGGUGAAGCAAGUUGGAGGAUCCGAAUCUUUGUAUUCGGGUCGACCCGAUCCACCCAUUAACCCGCCAAAUCUCAACCGUUCUUUGGGUAAAUCGGACGAGUCAAAUGAUGCCAUGUGUGAUGUUGACUUUUGAAGUUUGACCAGCCAUUGGAUCUUGAUCUAAGGGUUGUGAGGAGCACAUGCAUGAAGCCUAUGAUGGACCGCAAAGCACGGGAUUAUGAAUUUAUUUUUUCUAUAAAUAGGGCCUCAUUUUUAUGUUUUAAUCAUCUCUCUACAACUCUCUUCUUCUCAAAUUCUCUCCAUCUCCUUGUAAUCUUGAUUUCCAGGUGUGUUUUUAAUAUUUUGUAUAAUUAUUUUCAUUAAUAAAAUUAGUUUUAUUUCCAAUUUUAGUUGUUUUUAUUUCUUUUAAUUAUAAGUAAUUCAAUUUUAUACUUCUUUUUAUUUUAAUUAUGCUUAACUAAAUAAUAUUAGUUAGGGGAAGGUGAAACUCUUAAGAAAUAAAUAUGAUUUAAUCAAAUUCCAUGUUUAAUUUUAUAAAUUAAAUUAUUUUUCUAUUUAAUUUUAUACAUGUUUUAUAUUUUGAAAAUUUGAUUUAUUGUAGACAAACAAAUGAAUUUGGCACAAUAAAUUCUUAAGAUCUUAAUAUAAGGCAUGGUGAAAUGGUAUUUUGACUUAUUGUAGACAAAUUAAAUUUUGGCACAAUAAAUACUUAAUCCAUCAUAAAAUUAAAGGGAAAAUAAUAAUAAUUUGUAUAAUUAAUCUUUUGAGUAAUAAAUCUAAAACAAAUUGGCAAAAAGAAUUUAUUAAGUUUUAUUUAUUUCUAAGAGUGGAUCCAUAACCCUAACUAGUUCAAUUCUAUAGUUUCAUUUAAAUUAAAUUGUUUAUAUUCAAGUUUUAAUUUCAAUUUUUAGAUAAAAUAAAAUAAACUAAUUAAAUCUUUUCUCUGUGGAUCGACCUCGGACUCACCGAGUUAUAAUACAACAAGACACUCUUAUACUUGGGAGUUAAAAUUUACUUUUAAGUUGUGUCAAGUUUUUGGCGCCGUUGCCGGGGAAAAGUUUUUUAUUUGGUUUGUUUUUCUGUUUUUUAUUUUUCUCUUAGAUAUAAAAUUUCGUUUACCCCCUUUUCCUUUUCUUAAAUUCUCUUUUGUCCCCAUAUCUUUCAUAAUUCUCGUUUCACCCCAACAAUUUCCGUUUCUAGCCCAAUCUUCUGGUAAUUACGUUCGGACCCCGACAUCUUUCAACUGUUUCACUUUCAUCCCAAAUUGCUAAUUCUAAACUUCUAAAAAUUACAGUUUGACCAUAAAAUUAAAAAUAAUUUGCAAUAGAAUCCCUAGACGAAAUUCCUCAACAUAAUCAAGACUUGGACAUAUUUGGACAUACUUUGGACAUAUUUGAACAUAUUUGGACAGAUUUGGACUUAUUUUGGACCAAACUAACUUUAACUACUAACUCUAAUUACUAACUCUUAACUUACUAACUCCUAACUCCUAACUUUUAUUUAAUUUCAGUUAUUUAAUUUUCUGUAUUUAUUUUAUUUCAUAUUUAUUUAUUUAUUUUUAUUUUUGCUUUAUUGGUGGGUUUAACCACCAAACUAACUACUAACCCUUAACUUUUAUUUUCAGUUAUUUAAUUUUCAGUAUUUAUUUAAUUUUGUAUUUUUUAUUUUUUUAAUUGGUGGGUUCAACCACCAUUUUUUUUAUUUUGCAUUUAUUUAUUUAUUUAUUUAUUACUUUGUUGGUGGGUUCAACCACCAUUUUUGUUAUUCAAUUUUCUUUUGUAUACUUAUAUUAUUUGCUUAUUUAUUUAUUUUUAUUUUAUUUUGUUAUCAAUUUGUGUAAAUAUUAUCUUUAUAACAUAACCCUUGCAUGAGACAUUGGUCUCGAUCUUCAAGUGGCAGGUUAAUUCGUAGAUCUCAAUCUCCACCACCAAUCAUGGAUGAGAAUGAAGGCGAAAACGUUUUGGGCGAACUUAAUCCUCAAAUUGAUCAGGGAGACAACCAAUCUCAACAUGGGCAUGAUCAGAAUCAACCAAGGACUCUGAGAGACUACAUGAAUCCAACCAGAACCGGAGCACCGUCGUGUAUAGUAUUUCCUCCAGAAGCAUCUCGAUUCAACUUUAAACCAGGUAUUAUCCAACUUUUACCAACAUUUCAUGGUUUAGAAUCUGAGAAUCCGUACUUGCAUCUAAGAGAUUUUGAGGAAGUUUGUAAUACAUACACGGACCAAAAUUGUAGCAUGAACAUAAUUAGAUUAAAGCUUUUUCCUUUUUCAUUAAAAGAUAAAGCUAAAACUUGGCUACAAAACCUUAGAUCUGGAUCAGUAAGAACUUGGAAUAACAUGCAAGAACAGUUUUUGAAAAAAUUCUUUCCACCUCAUAGAACAAAUUCUUUUAAAAGGCAAAUCACUUCUUUCACUCAAAAAAAUGGAGAAACAUUAUACCAAUGUUGGGAUAGGUUUAAAGAGUUGCUUAACAUAUGCCCACAUCAUGGUUUUGAAACUUGGCGAUUGGUCACUUAUUUCUACGAGGGCUUAAUACCCCAAAGUAGACAGGUUGUUGAAAUGAUGUGUAAUGGUGAAUUUAGGGAUAAAAAUCCUGAAGAUGCACUAGAUUACCUUGACCAAUUAGCUGAAAAUGCACAACAUUGGGAUACUGUUGGAACUUUUGAAUUGACAAAUAAGCAACAAUCAUCUCCAUCUAGUGGAGGAAUCCAUAACCUUAGGGAAGAUCAUGAUUUACAAGCAAAAUUUGCAUCCCUAGUUAGGAAAGUUGAAGCUUUGGAGCAUAAAAAGAGUGAUCAAGUAAAAUCUGUUCAAGAAAUUGCAUGUAACAUAUGUAAUUCGAAUAAUCAUUUCACUCAAGAGUGUCCCACUUUGCCUGCACUUAAAGAAUGUCUAAAUGAUCAAGCUAAUGUCAUUAACACUUUCAAUAAACCAAACCCAUAUUCACAGACUUAUAAUCCUGGUUGGAGAAAUCAUCCGAAUUUCAGUUGGAGGAAUAAUAAUAAUGCACAAUCUUCACAAGCACCACCUCCACAAAAUUUUCAAAAUCCUCAGCCUUAUGCACCAUAUGUUCCACCACCCUGGAAAAAUCUGGAAGACACAAUGCAUUCAUUCAUCAAAAAGCAAGAUGUUAUUAAUAAUCAAAAUGCACAAACUUUUUCUGAUUUGAAAGAUACUCUUGCUAAAAUUGCUUCUGCACUCACCAUUCAAGAAAAAGGAAAAUUUCCAGCCCAACCACAACCAAAUCCUAAAAUUCAACAAAAUCCACCCACAGACCAAGUCAAGUCAGUUAUAACUCUUCGUAGUGGUAAGGUUGUUGAUAGACCUAUGCCUGAACCUUAUGAAAAUGAUGAAAAUUCAAAGGGUAAGGAAGGACUAAAUGAACUUACACCUAGUGAAGAAAUAACUAGUGUUCCACCUGAACCACCAUUUCCGCAUGCAUUGAAUAAACCAAAGAAAUCAAACCACUCUUCUGAAAUUUAUGAAAUCUUUAAGCAAGUGAAAGUUAACAUUCCUCUAUUAGAUGCAAUCAAGCAGGUUCCUUCAUAUGCCAAAUUUUUAAAGGACUUGUGCACUGUUAAGAGGAAAUUGAAGGUAAGAAAGAGUGCUUUCAUGGCUGAACAGGUAAGUACAAUUCUGUCUACUAAUAAUAAGUUGAAAUAUAAAGAUCCUGGUUGUCCUACCAUUUCUUGUAUUAUUGGUAACCACAGAAUUGAGCAUGCUUUACUAGAUCUUGGUGCUAGUGUUAAUUUGCUUCCAUAUUCAGUUUAUCUUCAACUUAAUCUUGGUGAGUUAAAAUCAACUUCAACUACACUUUUGCUUGCCGAUAGAUCAGUUAAAGUACCAAAAGGAAUAGUGGAAGAUGUUUUAGUACAAGUUGAUAAAUUUAUUUAUCCUGUGGAUUUUAUUGUCUUGGAAACUGAACCUGUUGUGAAUAAUUACAAACCAAUUCCUGUAAUUUUAGGUCGACCAUUUUUAGCAACUGCUAAUGCUUUGAUUAAUUGUAGGAAUGGUUUAAUGAAUUUAUCCUUUGGGAAUAUGACUUUGGAAUUGAAUGUUUUCAAUAUGUGCAGGCAACCUAAUGAAGAAAAUGAGAAUGAAGAUGAUACUGAUGAACAAAAGGAAUUGUUUGAAUCUUGUAUCGAGGAAAAUAUUCAAAAAGGGGAUUUUUCUGAACUUUCUAAUGUUUGUUUAGUUAAUUCAAUUGAGUCAAAUAAGCAACUUGAACUUGAUAUUUCUAAUAUAAAUUCGUUGCUUGAUUCUAUGCAGACUUCGCAAAAUUAUGAUGACGAGCCAAAAUUUGAGGAGCUUAGAAGUAUUGAAAAGACAGAACAACGAGAAGCACCUAAAAUGGAAUUGAAACCUUUGCCUGAAGGAUUGAAAUAUGCUUUUCUUGGAGAAGAACAAACUUAUCCUGUUGUGAUUUCUUCUACUUUAACAAGCAACCAAGAAGGUAAGUUACUAACUGUUCUUAAAAAGCAUAAAAAUGCAAUAGGAUGGACUUUAAAUGACAUUAAAGGCAUUAAUCCCUUAAUCUGCACACAUAGAAUUAAUUUGGAAGAAAAUGCUAAAAUAUGUCAACAACCUCAAAGAAGAUUAAACCCACACAUGAAAGAGGUAGUCAAAACAGAAGUCCUUAAAUUACUUGAUGUGGGAAUUAUCUACCCUAUUUCUGAUAGUAAGUGGGUAAGUCCUACACAAGUAGUGCCUAAAAAAUCUGGAAUCACUGUUGUUAAAAAUGAAAAAGGUGAAUUAAUUCCAACACGAAUUACAUCUAGUUGGCGCAUGUGCAUUGAUUAUAGAAAAUUAAAUGAAGCCACUAGAAAAGAUCAUUUUCCAUUACCAUUCCUCGACCAAAUCUUAGAAAGAGUAGCAGGACAUCCCUACUACUGUUUUUUAGAUGGAUAUUCAGGUUAUUAUCAAAUUCCUAUAGCACUUGAGGACCAAGAAAAGACCACAUUCACAUGUCCUUUUGGAACAUUUGCAUUUAAAAGAAUGCCAUUCGGGCUUUGUAAUGCUCCUGCAACAUUUCAAAGAUGUAUGUUAAGCAUUUUUUGUGAUAUGGUUGAACAUUGUUUAGAGGUCUUUAUGGAUGAUUUGACUGUGUUUGGGAAUUCUUUUGAUGAUUGCCUUGAUAAUUUGGAGAAAGUUUUAAAAAGAUGUGUUGAAAAAGAACUCGUGUUGAAUUGGGAAAAAUGUCACUACAUGGUUACUUCUGGAAUUGUUUUGGGUCAUGUUGUUUCUAUUAAAGGAAUUGAAGUUGACAAAGCAAAAAUCGAAGUCAUAUCUAAAUUGCCACAACCAAAAACAGUUAGAGAUGUGCGAUCCUUUUUAGGACAUGCAGGAUUUUAUAGGAGGUUUAUAAAAAACUUUAGUGCCAUAUCUAAACCACUGUGUAACCUCUUAUUAAAAGAUGCACCGUUUGAAUGGAAUGAUGAUUGCCAAAAAUCUUUUGAAAAAAUAAUUUGUCUUUUAACAUCUGCACCUAUUAUGCAAUCUCCUGAUUGGUCUUUGCCAUUUGAACUAAUGUGUGAUGCAAGUGAUUUUGCUGUUGGUGCUGUUUUAGGACAAAGAAGGGAUGGUAAGCCUUUUGUGAUUUAUUAUGCGAGCAAGACUUUGGAUAGUGCUCAAAUGAAUUAUUCUACAACUGAAAAAGAAUUACUUGCUGUGGUAUUUGCAUUAAACAAAUUCCGUUCAUAUUUGCUUGGCUCUAAAUCUGUUGUGUUUACUGACCAUGCUGCUGUGAGAUAUUUGAUGAGUAAACAGGAUGCCAAACCGAGACUAAUUCGUUGGAUUUUGUUACUACAAGAAUUUGACCUUACCAUCAAAGAUAAAAAGGGUGCUGAAAAUGUUGUUGCUGAUCAUCUAUCAAGACUCACAUCCGAAUUCUGCAAUGAUAUAACACCCAUAAAUGAUUCUUUCCCUGAUGAAUUUUUAUUUUCUGUUACUUCAAUGCCAUGGUAUGCUAAUAUUGUUAAUUUUCUUGUUACAGGUAAAAUGCCUUUGCAAUGGAAUGCUCAAGAGAAGAAGAAAUUUUUUGUUGAAGUAAAGAAAUUUUAUUGGGAUGAUCCUUAUUUGUUCAAAUAUUGCCCAGAUCAAAUUUUUCGGCGAUGUAUUCCUGAUAAUGAGGUAAGUAGUGUCAUUAAUUUUUGUCAUUCUGAAGCAUGUGGUGGUCACUUUUCUUCAAGAAAAACUACUGCUAAAAUUUUACAGUGUGGAUUUUAUUGGCCUACCAUGUUUAAAGACACAUAUGAAUUUUGCAAAAGUUGUGAAAAAUGUCAAAAAUUGGGAUCAAUUACAAAAAGAAACAUGAUGCCCUUAAAUCCCAUACUUGAAAUUGAAAUAUUUGACUGUUGGGGAAUUGAUUUCAUGGGUCCAUUUCCAUCAUCUUUUGGAUUUGUGUAUAUAUUAGUUGCAGUUGAUUAUGUCUCAAAAUGGAUUGAAGCAAUUUCUUGUCGAAAUAAUGACAGUAAAACUGUGAUUAAAUUUUUAAGAGAAAACAUUUUAAGUCGAUUUGGAAUCCCUCGAGCCAUUAUCAGUGAUGGAGGUAAGCAUUUUUGUAAUAAGUCAUUUGAGUCUUUAAUGAAAAAAUAUGGAAUUACACAUAAAAUUGCUACCCCUUAUCAUCCUCAAACAAAUGGUCAAGUUGAAUUAGCAAAUAGGGAGAUAAAACAAAUUUUGGAAAAAACGGUUAACCCAAACCGAAAAGAUUGGUCUCUUAGACUUAAUGAUGCACUUUGGGCUUACCGUACUGCAUUUAAAACGUCUUUAGGAAUGUCACCCUAUCGGUUAAUUUAUGGUAAACCUUGUCAUUUACCUGUUGAACUUGAACAUAAAUCACUUUGGGCUAUUAAAGCUUUUAAUUCAAAUUUGGAUGAUGCUGGUAAUGUGCGAAAAUUGCAAUUGAAUGAACUUGAGGAAUUAAGGAAUGAUGCAUAUGAAAAUUCAAGAAUUAUUAAGGCAAGAACAAAAGCAUUUCAUGAUAAAAGAAUUUUUCGAAAAACAUUUGAGAUUGGUCAAAAAGUGUUGCUUUAUAAUUCUCGUCUUCAUUUAUUUCCAGGAAAGUUAAAGUCAAAAUGGAGUGGCCCAUUUGUUGUAAAAAAUGUAUUUUCAUAUGGGGCCAUAGAAAUUGAGAAUCCAAAUAACGGUGUCACAUUUAAAGUUAAUGGUCAAAGAUUAAAACCAUAUCUGGAACAUCACCCACGUGACGAGGACACCGAAAUUAAUUUGGAUGACCCACCAGUUCUUGAUUAAGUCUUUAAUGAUUUUUUUUUGUUUUACUAUUAUUUUACCGUUUCAUUGUUUGAUUUUUUUCUUUAGAUUGAUGCACUGUAAAUAGUUUUUUUUUUAACAUUGUUUUUCUUAUGUAAGCGUGUUUGUUUGACAGUUGUACAUUCUCUUAUCAAUUUUCAUUUUACAUCAUGAGCACCUCAAUGAGAAAAUACCUGUUCGCACAUCUUAAAAGAUUUCGGCGUAUAAAAUUUCACUUAAGAGGCCUGAUACAAAGCUGUAAAUCACAUCCACUUUGGGAUCUGCAACCACCAGAAUUCGUGUCCUAUGUUGAGGAUCUAGAGGGACAACUCAGAACAGUAGAGAGUGGCAUAUAUGAAUUUCAAAUGGAGCUUGAGGUUAACUCAAUGAGAGGACGAAUGUAAGUUCAUUUUCCUUUUAUAUUGUGUGUUUUUUCUUUUUGCUCGCUUUCACGCUUGAUUUGAUUUUGCAGAUUUGAUUUUGGUAAGUUUUGAUUUAUUUUCCCGUAUAAAUGGCGGAUAACGGUACUCCGUGACUUUUUAAGUCGGUAUCUUCAGUUUCCCACAAUAACUGAAACCCCAAAAUCAAACAUGGAAGAAAUACAACAUAAACUGCAUAAGCACUUUCCUUCUCUCCCUCAGAAUGCCCUCAGGAAAAUUUACAAAGCUCGUUGUGAACGACUGCGUUUGUUAAUGAUCAAUGGCAUUCCUUCUGACAUUCGUUGGUUAAUUGAAGCAAAAGUCCGAUUAGUAGGUGAGUUUUCUGAUCCAUUUGUUUCUUACAUGCCUGGUUUUGGUAAAAGUACGUUUGCUAAGAAAAGGAGAGCUAAACGACUUGGCUCAAAAUGUCAUAACUGUGUAAGACUUGGUUGCAAACGACCAGAUUGUAAAUCUUUAGGAAUGGUUUCUGAUACUCGUGAAGAUAAAAUUAAAUUCGUUAAAGAUGGCAUGAGUAAAGAAUCGUUGGAUGAUAUCUUACGGUCUCUUGAGACGCAUCGAAGCGGAAUUGUGCAACGUGAGAUUUACAAUUUGUGGAUACUAUUCCAAAAACAAAGUGCACAGUUAAGUCUUGGGAAUCUGACUCAAAAAGACCCUGUUUGCCAGUUUAUAAGAAAACUGGAUGGGAAGCCGAUCCUCGACCCAUAGAGGGCGUUCAAGCCGUUACUGGACGUAAAACCAGAGGAAGAUGUGAGCCACAAUCACAACUACCAGUAAAUAUCCUUUCACUUCACUGUUAUUUUACUUUACUGUUAUUUUAUCAUUUGCAUUAUUGCAUUUAGCGAUGUGAUUUUGUAUUUAAUAAACAUUUGGUUUCUUUUACUGUUUGCUUUUUCUAAUCAUUACUUUUUUUUUUUUUACUGUUUGUUUUUGAAUUAUUGAGCCACGAGCUUUCCUCGUCAUUUGACAAAUAUGCCAACCCAUUUACAGCUGUUUCUCAUUAUUUAUGUCACCAAGAUCUUUAAAUAUGAGCUCGUUUUUCAAACACUCGCAACUUGUUUUUGAAAAAUUAGUCCAAUGGCAGCAUCUUCGAGUAAACAAUUCAAAAAUAUUUGUGUGCUUUCUGGGUUUCACUAUGGAAAGUACAAAGAGUUCGUUCAGGCAGCUGUAGAUCUUGGUCGUGUCAUAGCAGAGAGGAAACUGCAUCUUGUAUAUGGAGGAGGUGAACGAGGGUUAUCAAGACUUGUCUCAGAAGCUGUUUUUACCAGAGGAAGUCAAGUACUCGGCAUUAUCCCAAAACCCAUGAAACCGCUAGUGUGCUUGUCUGGCCCACCAAUUGGAGAAGAAUUAGUGGUAUCAAGUAUGCAAGAGAGACUAUCUGAAAUGAUGAAUCAUGCUGAUGCUUUUAUUUUUUUUGCCAGGAGAUCUUGCAACUUUUGAGGCACUAAUUACAUUUGCAUCUUGGGCCCACUUGAACAUUCAUCAAAAACCCAUCGGUUUGUUAAAUGUUAAUAAUUUUUAUGACGGCUUGCUAACUUUUAUUAACCAUGCAAUAAAGAAUCAUUUUGUUCCACAUUCUGUAAAAAAACUCUUUAUCUCUGCUUCUACUGCUAAUGAGUUACUUGAUCUUUUACAAGCUUAUACACCAGAGCCAGAUCCACAGACUGUUGCACUGAAUUGGUCGACUAAUGAUGGUAACGGUAACAGUAGCAGUAAUAAGAAGUGCGAUUUAGAUUUAACUCUCCGUUUGUAAAUAUUUUCUGUUGUAAUGUUCAUGUGAUGUCUUCUACACUCUUUCUCUUUCCUUUUAAAACAUUGAGGACAAUGUCUUUUUCAGGUUGGGGGGAGGGAAUAGUUGAUAAUUGUGGAAUGUCUUAGUCCUGGUUAUGUGUUUACAAAAAAAAAAAAAAAAAAAAAAAAAACAAUAACAAAAUUUUUUUUUUCUGUAAAGACUAACUUAGGACAAAUUUGAGUCGAAGAUGGCAGGAUAUAGAGAAUGUAGUCUCUCUAGAAACGCAUCUUCUUAAUCUUAAGGGUGUUGUUAAAAAAAAAAAAAAAAAAAAAAAUUUCUUUUUCUUCAUCUUUGUUAUCUACUUCUAAGCUUCUGCAUCAAGUUCAGGUGAGAUCUCCUCUUCUUCUUCUUUUAUUUUUUCUUUUUCUUUUUGCAUAUCUGUAAAUUAUAAAAUGUUAGGAUAAUGUUUAGAUUAGGUUGUGGGGUGGGGAUAAUUGACGUAUGUUUUAAAUAUGUGUGUUGUUUUUUUCCCUUUUCUCUUUUCUUUUCUUUGCCCAAAAAAAAAAAAAAAAAAAAAAAAAAAAAAAAAAAAAAAAAAUUGUUUUUUGUCUAGGAUGGCCGUGUAAAGAGUCACGACUUUUGAGACGCAUCCUAAUAGUCUUGUUGUAUUAUAUUUUGAUUUUGAGAUUUAUAGUAAGUUGUUUUUGUUCCCUUUUCUUUGAAUUACUCAAAUAUGUGAACUCUCCACUUGGUUAUUAAGUUAUUUAAUUGUUUACUCAUUUAACAGGUAUUGUUGAAUCAUUCUUCACACACACAUUAUGACACAUACUAGUGGGUUGUAAGUUAAAAUUUUACAGCAUUUAGUUCUUUUGAUUUAUUAGGAAAAGUAUCUAAGGUAGUAGAAAGUGUAUAUUUCCAAAAAAAAAAAAAAAAAAAAAGAAAAAAAAAAAGAAAAAAAAAAAGAAAAAAAAAAUUUUGUUAUAUCUAGAAACCCGAGUAAUUAAGUCCGUAGGGGUGUUUCAACACCUAGUGCCCUAAGGUCAACUGGUCUGGGAGUCACUGGCCUAAAGCUCGCUACAUGGGUAAUAGAUAUAUUGUUUGUUUAUUAGAAACCCGAGUAAUUAAGUCCGUAGGGGUGUUUCAACACCUAGUGCCCUAAGGCCAACUGGUCUGGGAGUCACUGGCCUAAAGCUCGCUAGACGGGUUAGAAAUGUAAUAUAUAUAAAAUAAAAAAAAAUGUGUGAAUAAUCUGUGCCUAAAGAUAUAAUUUCUAAUGAAUUUUAGAACGAAAAUGUUGUUUUUCUUUUAAUGAAGCCCCAUAAGUAUUGUGUUAAUUACUUGAGCACAAAAGAAUGUUUGAUGAUAUUCUGAAUAAUGAGUGAACAUCAAUGUGGUAAAGGAAUUUGGGAGAGUUCAUUUAUUUGGUAAUUUAGAGGAUAGAUGAACAAUUAUUAACUUGCAUGUGAAUUUUUUAAAUCUUAAUAUAACGCUUUAAUUGCUAGAGGGCUAGCAAUAAGCUGGUUGGGGGGUGUGAUUAGUAUUAAAAAUUGUUUAAUUAUCAAGCGAUAAUAUGUUAUUUUAUGCUUAUGUUAUAAUUUAUAUUUGUGUUUAUGUAAUAUAUUAUGAAUUAUUAAUUAUGUUUUAAAUAUAUUUAAUUUUGUGUAUUUUUAUGUGUUUAUUAGGAAAAUUAUUAAUUUCACGUACUUCGAGGCUCCAAACAGAUAAACGGAGGUCAAAUUUGGAUUCCGGAGGUCCGAAAACCUUAAGAUCAGUCAAGAUCGGCUUAAAAUUGGGCUUGUGUAAAAAAAGUUGACUUUUCCUGUUGACCGAGCACUGAUUGGAUGAUGAAAUGAGCUUACAAUAGAUAUGAGUGCAUGGGAUAACUGGCAAUCUUGACCAAAUCUCAACCGUUCAUGAUUCAAUGGCCAUGAUUGUGCCACGUGGCAAUGGUUGGUGAAGCAAGUUGGAGGAUCCGAAUCUUUGUAUUCGGGUCGACCCGAUCCACCCAUUAACCCGCCAAAUCUCAACCGUUCUUUGGGUAAAUCGGACGAGUCAAAUGAUGCCAUGUGUGAUGUUGACUUUUGAAGUUUGACCAGCCAUUGGAUCUUGAUCUAAGGGUUGUGAGGAGCACAUGCAUGAAGCCUAUGAUGGACCGCAAAGCACGGGAUUAUGAAUUUAUUUUUUCUAUAAAUAGGGCCUCAUUUUUAUGUUUUAAUCAUCUCUCUACAACUCUCUUCUUCUCAAAUUCUCUCCAUCUCCUUGUAAUCUUGAUUUCCAGGUGUGUUUUUAAUAUUUUGUAUAAUUAUUUUCAUUAAUAAAAUUAGUUUUAUUUCCAAUUUUAGUUGUUUUUAUUUCUUUUAAUUAUAAGUAAUUCAAUUUUAUACUUCUUUUUAUUUUAAUUAUGCUUAACUAAAUAAUAUUAGUUAGGGGAAGGUGAAACUCUUAAGAAAUAAAUAUGAUUUAAUCAAAUUCCAUGUUUAAUUUUAUAAAUUAAAUUAUUUUUCUAUUUAAUUUUAUACAUGUUUUAUAUUUUGAAAAUUUGAUUUAUUGUAGACAAACAAAUGAAUUUGGCACAAUAAAUUCUUAAGAUCUUAAUAUAAGGCAUGGUGAAAUGGUAUUUUGACUUAUUGUAGACAAAUUAAAUUUUGGCACAAUAAAUACUUAAUCCAUCAUAAAAUUAAAGGGAAAAUAAUAAUAAUUUGUAUAAUUAAUCUUUUGAGUAAUAAAUCUAAAACAAAUUGGCAAAAAGAAUUUAUUAAGUUUUAUUUAUUUCUAAGAGUGGAUCCAUAACCCUAACUAGUUCAAUUCUAUAGUUUCAUUUAAAUUAAAUUGUUUAUAUUCAAGUUUUAAUUUCAAUUUUUAGAUAAAAUAAAAUAAACUAAUUAAAUCUUUUCUCUGUGGAUCGACCUCGGACUCACCGAGUUAUAAUACAACAAGACACUCUUAUACUUGGGAGUUAAAAUUUACUUUUAAGUUGUGUCAAUCUACUAAUCCUGCUAAAUUGGGUGCUGAAUGGAUCCCAUCAUCCCAAAAAAGGUAAAUAUGUUUACUUAAUUCAGUCUUAAGAGGCUUGAAAAACAGAUCGACAAUUUGUUGCUUAACAAGGAAGUGUAUUGGAAACAAAUAUCUAGAGCUGAUUGGCUGCUCGAGGGAGAUAAAUGUUAUAAAUAGAAAUUAAAAUAAAAAAUUUAAAUAUUAAAAAUAAGAUAUAUAUAUAUAUAUAUAUAUAUAUAUAUAUAUAUAUAUAUAUAGCUCCUGAUACUCCUCAAUCUAGCAAGAUUGAUACUCCUCAGUUGAGUAGAAUUGGAGUACUCGACCAAGACCAGGUUUCUAUUGCCUCUUCUGACUUAGAAGCCUUUACUGAAGAACCUAUUCCUAAAGCCAACAAAAUUCAUUGGGAAUUGGCACUCCCUACUUCCAAAUCUCCACCUGAUUUGACCAUAGACAAUAGGCCUAGUAUAGUAAAUCAAGCUCGAUAUAAUGCAUCCUCUGUCUAUGAGUGGAAUUUGGAUGGCAUGUCUGAAUACAAUAUUUUAGGGGUAUUGCAGCAAAUGACCAUGGCAGCUAAUGCUUACAAAACCCAAUCAGGAACUUCUGAUAGAGCCAUAGCAGAAAUCCUGAUUGCCGGUUUUACUGGUCAACUAAAGGGAUGGUGGGAUCACCUUCUCACUAAUUUGCAACAAUUGGAAAUUCUAAAUGCCAUCCAAACCGAUGAAAAUGGUGCCCCCAUUCUUGAUGAGCUCAAUAAUCCAAUUCAGGAUGCUGUUGCUACCCUGAUAUUGACUAUCUCUCUACACUUCAUAGGUGACCCUUCUCACCUUAGAGACAAAAAUGCUGAGUUACUACACAACUUAAGGUGUAGAAAACUUAGUGAUUUCAAUGACUACAAAACCACUUUCUUUACCAGACUCUUCCUAAGGGAUGAUGCAAAUCAUGUAACUUGGAAGGAAAAAUUCCUUGCAGGAUUACCUACCCUUUUGGGAUAAAAGGUAAGAAAUUCUAUCAAAGCCCUUUUUGAUAAUCGUAUCCCCUAUGACGAACUCACUUAUGGUGAAUUAGUCAGCUUUGUCAACAAAGAAGGAUUAAAGAUCUGUCAAGACUUGAAACUUCAGAAGCGUCUAAAACAAGAGCUUAGGCAAUCUAAGCAAGAAUUAGGCGGUUUCUGCAAGCAAUUCAAUUAUGACCCCUUUAAAACUUCCACUUCCAAAGACUGUAAUGGUAAGUGUUCUUCAAAACCUUACAAAAAACAUUACAAGUCCAAAAGCCAUAGAAAACCCUUUCAUGAUUUUAGAAAACUUCCUUAUAAGAAACCUUCGAGGCCUUAUAAGAAACAUAGUUUCUCUAAAAAGAAAGAGUUCAAAGCCAAACCUAAAACCCCGUUCAAUUUCAAAGAUGCUACCUGUUUCAAAUGUGGUAUGAAAGGUCAUACUACACGUUUUUGUAAAAUGAACAGGAGACUCCAUGAGCUCGGUCUCGAGGAGGAAAUCCUUUCAAAAAUAGCCCCUCUUCUGGUCGGAUCUUCUGACUCUGAGUCUUCCUGGUCAGGUAACAAUGACCCCCUCCAAGUCGACGAACUAUUCGAUUCAGAUAGCUCUGCUUCUAGCAAUAGUGAUUCUGAUUCGGAUAAUUCUUAUUUAAAGAAAAUCAAUGUUUUGACAAAAGACCAAGAGAUUUUCCUUGAACUUGUAAAGCACAUUUCGGAUCCAAAUCUUCAAAAGGAUUAUCUUGAUAAGCUUUUAAAAACCAUGGAUUCAAGCAACACAGAAACUUCUUCUUCUAAAAUCCCUACUGUCAAAAAGAAUUCUUAUGAUUUAACUGAGAUUUUAGAAAAGAAGAAAACGAAGAAGUCUACUCCUAAUAUCCAAGACCUUCAAAAGGAGAUUAAGGAUAUUAAACUUGAAAUAAAGGAUUUAAAAGAAAAAAAAAACUGAUUCUGCAACUAUUCAACUCCUUUUACAAAAACAGUUGCAAGAUACUUCUGAUAGAGAGGUUGAAUCAGAAAAUGAUGAUGUUGAACAAAAAAUUGAUAAUAUUGAGCCAAUUCCAAAUGAUUUUUUGUUUGUUUUAAAGCAAAUCACCACCAGAAAGUAUUUGAUUAAGAUUACUUUAAUUUUUUCAGAUAAUUUUGCGAUGGAUGCCAUUGCUCUUUUUGAUACUGGUGCUGAUUUAAAUUGUAUUCGUAAAGACAUUGUCCCAAAAAGAUUUCAUGAGAAAACUAAUGAAAGACUCUCUGCUGCAAACAAUUCAAAAUUAAGGGUUGAUUCCAAAGUUGAAGCAUCUAUUUACAAUGACAAAAUUGAGUUUAAACCUCUUUUGUUCUUACAAAUGAUAUACACCAUGCUAUCAUUUUAGGAACACCUUUUAUAAAUUUGAUAACCCCAUACGCUGUCAACUAUGAUGGUAUAUAUUUCAAAGCAAAAUCCAAAGAACUUGCUUUUUCAUUUAUUGAAAAACCAAAGACCCGAAACCUUAAUAUUGUCAAAGCCUGUUCGGUUUACCAAAACAAAAUCAGAAUUUGUUGUAAAAUCCAAACAAGAUGAUUUGUUUUACUUGCAAAAGGAUUUAAAUUUUCAGAGAAUUGAGAAUCAAAUACAAAAUGAUUCUAUACAAAGAAAAAUUUCUGAUUUCAAAAGCCUUAUUGAAAAAGAAAUUUGUGCUGAUUUACCAACUGCUUUUUGGAAUAGGAAACAACAUUUGGUAGAUUUGCCAUAUGAAAAUUCUUUUGAUGAAAAGCAAAUACCCACUAAAGCCCGUCCAAUCCAAAUGAAUUCGGAUUUGGAACAACAUUGUAAAGGAGAAAUUAAUGAUCUUAUUUCCAAAGGUCUUAUUGUAAAAUCCAGGUCACCUUGGUCUUGUGCUGCUUUUUAUGUCAAUAAAAAUUCUGAGAUUGAAAGAGGUGUACCUAGACUUGUGAUAAAUUAUAAACCUUUAAAUAAAGCUUUGAAAUGGAUUAGGUAUCCGAUACCUAAUAAAAAAGACUUGCUUCAAAAACUCUGCUCGGCCUUCAUUUUUUCCAAAUUUGAUAUGAAGUCGGGUUUUUGGCAAAUUCAAAUUCAUCCUAAAGACCGUUACAAAACAACAUUUACUGUUCCUUUUGGUCAAUAUGAGUGGACAGUAAUGCCUUUUGGUUUGAAAAAUACACCCUCAGAAUUUCAGAGAAUUAUGAACGAUAUUUACAAUCCCUAUUCUGAGUUUUGCAUUGUUUAUAUCGAUGAUGUUUUGAUUUUCUCUCAAAGCAUUGAUCAACAUUUCAAACAUUUAAAGACUUUUUAUCUUGCUACAAAAAAGGCUGGAUUAGCUCUUUCCAGUUCAAAAAUUUCAUUGUUUCAAACAAAAGUCAGAUUUCUUGGUCAUUAUAUUUCCAAAGGAACCAUUACUCCUAUUGAAAGAUCUCUUUUGUUUGCGGACAAAUUCCCAGAUAAAAUUUUAGAUAAAACCCAAUUACAAAGAUUUCUUGGAAGUUUAAAUUAUGUUCUUGAUUUCUGCCCUAACAUCAAUAGGAUGUCAAAGCCUUUGCAUGAUAGGUUAAAAAAGAAUCCUGUUGCAUGGUCAGAAGAGCAUACCAAAGUUGUUAGAUUAAUAAAGCAGUCUGUUAAAAGCAUUCCGUGUUUACAUCUUGCAAAUCCUACAUUCCCUAAAAUUGUCGAAACUGAUGCAUCAGAUUUAGGAUAUGGAGGUAUUUUAAAGCAAAAAGAAAAUGAUAAAGAACAGAUAGUACAAUAUGUUUCUGCUCAUUGGAACGAUUGUCAGAAAAACUAUUCUACUAUCAAAAAAGAAAUUCUUUCCAUUGUUUUAUGCAUUACUAAAUUCCAAAGUGAUUUGCUAAAUCAAAAAUUUUUACUUAGAAUUGAUUGCAAAGCUGCAAAACAUGUUUUAGAAAAGGAUGUUCAAAACAUUACAUCAAAACAGAUUUUUGCACGUUGGCAAGCUAUUCUCAGUGUUUUUGAUUUUGAUAUAGAAUUCAUUAAAGGUGAUAAAAAUUAUGUUCCUGAUUUUCUAACUCGAGAAUUUCUUCAAAACAGGUAAUGGCUCCAAAGAAAAGAGACAAAGGGAAAGCUCCUGCUUCCCAUGAACCGUCCAAAGAACUUCAUGCAACCCCUUCUAAAGAAAAAUUCAUUUCCUCAGCCAUGCCAAUUAAAUCUUGGAUUGAAUUGGUUGAAGAACAUGAAGCCAAAUACAAAUCCAUUUCUUCUGAAGACCAAGUAAAGCAAUGGAUGAGUUCCAUUACAAAAUCACCUGAGCUUAUGAUAGCUCUACAAAGCCUUUCCCAGGUCCAACCUAAAGAGGAAGAAAAACCCACUUCUAAAGAUAUCUCAAAGCCUUCCUCUCAAAACAUUGUUGUUUCUGGUGAGAGCUCAUCCUCCCAAAUUGUGCUCUCUCAGCCAACACCUUCAAAGAAAACCUCCGAUUGGUUUGAUAAAGCCCAUUUUCAAAACAUUAUUUCAAUGGAAGAUGGAUUUUACCAUUCUGAUCCUUUUCAAAGUAUUUCAAAGUUUUUUCCCCAAGGCUGGUUUUUCAAACCAUGGGAUUUGACGAAACCCCAGUCUUACUAUCAAAGCAUUUUGGAAAUUACUGAUUCAGUAAAAUUCAAACAUUUCUUUUUAAGUAAAACCCAUUCUGAGCCGGCCUAUUCUACGGCCACAAUUUUAAAAGUUUUGAGCCCUAACCAGUGGGGUGAUCUGCUCCACAAUUUUAAAACUUUUCCUCUUAAUUUUGAGACCCGUUUACCACACUGUCGGUCUUUCUCCUACUGGGAUUACUAACAGGCUUGGUAUAACACUUUCUUCAUACAAAACCCUAAAAAAUUCCAUUCAUGGUUAUUUUUCUUUAAUUCAAAAAUAACCGUCCAGAGCCUUCCCAAUUGGUUUCACCAUUGGUGGAAUUAUUUUGGUCCAACCUCUGAAAUCCUUACCCAAAAUGCCCUACAAUGCCUAAACCUUUUCAAAGCCAACUACAAACCUACUGAGUCUGAGAAAAGAUUUCCUCCUUUUCUCUGCUUUUGUACCAAUUUCUUCCUCCCAUGGGUCUGGAUGUGGAGUCUUCGACAUCACACACAGGAUUCCCAUUUUAUCCUCCAAAGAACCUUUAGAGUCAAAUGGUGGUCAAAAUUUGACGAGCAGACCAAAUUAACUACCAAUCUUGUCCAAAACUGGCUUUCUGCUCAAGGCCACCUACAACCAGCCAUUAAAGAUAUUAAAGCCCAAGGCACUUUCCUCACUAAAAAAUCCAAAGCCCAAGCCCUCCUAGCAAGUGCCAAAACAGAAGAAGAAUACUUCAAAGCAAUGGAACAGCUCCUCGCUUCUCGAUCCAAAUCCUCAGUUGCUGACUCUACUGAAGAGGAAGACGAUGAUGAUGAUGAGCCAACUGUCUCUCUUGGAGAUGAAAAUGAAGAUGAUUGUUUCGGAAUUUUCUCUCCAAUAAAGCAUUGUAAAUAGUUCAUGUAACUAUUCAAAAAAAAAAAAAAAAGAGGUAUUUUAUUAUCUUGCUCAUUUCUUUCCUCGGGUGGUCCUCUGGACACAAGUGAGAGCGCACAUGUCUCUUCACCCGCAUUACAAAAUCUCUGCUCAGCAUUCCUGCUCGGCAUCAACACUAAAGCUCCUGAUUAUUACAAAGCUUCCUUGCUCAGAAUUCCUGCUUGGCAUCCAAAGAUUCCUGCUCGGCAUCAACACUAAAGCUCCUGUUAAUUACAAAGCUUCCUUGCUCAGCAUUCUUGCUCGGCAUCCAAAGAUUCCUGCUCAGCAUCAGCAUUAAAGCCCCUACUCAACUGUACACCUUUCCAUUUGUUACUAUGCACUUACAAACCCGCUACAGUGAAUAGUACAAAUGAUACUGUACAUUUUAUAACUUUUGUAUAUAAUCCAUGAGGAAGACUGAGACUCCUCACGGGUUUUAUUUUGAGUUUUCAUUUCUCUCUCUUCUCCUCCUUCUCUCUAAAGCUCUCUCAAAAGAAAGAAGUGUUCGAAGAAAUUUUCUGUUUACGCAAUAGUUCUAUCAUAGAGCUUUGAGUAAUCAGACUAGUUCUUUACCUUCAACAAUCUUCCCGUCUUUCAAUCUUCCCUUCUGGAAAGAUUUGAAAAAUUGUAAAGCAGCAACAAAAGCAAAGUGUAUGUUUAGAUCUCUGAUCUAAUUUUAUUUGUAAAGCAAUUUCAAUUCAUGUAAUUUAAUUUUUGUGCAUUUAAAUUUCUGUAAUUUAAUUUUAAAGCAUUUUCUUUUACAAAGCAUGCUUGCAGACUGAUCUGUAUCAGAUCUGCUUUAUAAAAUAUACAUUCUUCUGAGGCAAAGAGACCAGAUCUCGAUCCUCAGUCGUACACUUCUCUUCUCCCUCCAUUCCUUCAGAGCACCAUUUCCGAGAACCGGAUCUGGUACUGUGUAUGUUUUAGAAGCCGACUUUAUUAAUUGUUUAAUUUGAGUUUUUAGUAAUAAAGCAUUUUGAAACACAUCCAUCCUUCGAUCCUAUUUCUUUCUGGUAUAUAUAUAUAUAUAUGUUUUGGUGUGAAUAAAAAAUUAAUAAUAAGAUAUUUUUCUUGUGCUUUUUUAAUUUUAUAUUGUAUAUUUAUUAUAAGAAAAUAUUUAUAAAAUAAUAAAGAAAUUAAAAGAAAAAUAUUUUAUUAUUAAUUUUUUAACUAAAAGGACCACAAUUUGGAACAAUAUUAUUUGGCGACACAUUUUCUAGCUAGGCAUGAGUAGCUAGCUAAAUAGCCAGCACGACCUUCAUUUAUUACAACUGCUCAAAUAUACCCGAUGGAAAAUCAAUAGCAUGACGUUAAUCUUCAGAUCGCAAGGGGUUCCGUCAGCAACAAGGCAACUUGGCGUUUCAUCAUCAACGAAUGGGUGAAGCGAUCAUGACCAUCGUCGUACAUCAAAUGGCCUGAACGUGCGAAAUAAAGAAUCCGCUGAAGCAUGGGUAACGGGACAGUCGUUGGGUUGAGAAGCUCCUCAUUUAUAUCUUUCCAACUGUCAGCAACUUCUAACAACAACUCUUUAACCGCCUCUUCCUCGGAGACACCAUGUUGAUUCUUGUAGCACUGAACUGCUGAGGGAAUAUGUGCUCUCUUUUGCUCAAACUACACCACGGAUGCAUAUGAAUUGGUUAUAAGAGAACCAAAAAAAAAAAAAAAAAUCAUCAGUUAGCUAAUUUUUGUUUUUUUGUUUUUUCGUUGGGCAUAUAUGUUAUGUUAUGUUAUGUUAUGUGUUGUUAUGUGUUAAAGAGAGUUGAAAAGAAAUGCAGCCGCAAAGGCCGAAUGGUUUUCAACAAUCUUUAUUUUAUUGACAAUUUCUAAGUUUGAAUAUGGAGAAGCUAGGUGUUAGAAAAAUUGAUGUGGGCUUCACCCGCAUUUCUACCUUUAAAAUAAAUAAAGAAAUUGUAUACUAUGGUGACACGCCUUAAGAUACGUUACAAAAUUUCUCUUGGAGAUUAGUGGUGAAUAUAGUCUUAUUGAAUUGAAUUAUAAUGUAGAAUGAAGAGUAUUAUUUACCUUAUAACCUGCUAUGUCAUCCAUGAGCCUGACAAUGGUUUCUGUCGCUUUAACACUCUUAGCGUUUUUAAGAAUGCAUUCAAAAUUGUCCUUCGUUGCAAUAAAAUCACCCAAAUCAACGAAGGAAGCGACUGCUACCGGAAGAAAACCGAUACUUCUUAAUGCAACUGAUUUGUAUUCAUCGAAGCUUGGAACAUAACCUUUAUAUAACCACUUGGCUUCGGUAAAGUACAACAUAAUUAAUUCUUGCAUCUGAGCAACAUAACCCAAGUCAAUAAUAAUCACCUUGCAAAAUCAUAUAACAUGAAAUUGAUUAUUAAUAAAGUAAGGAAAAUGAUGUUAACCCGGGGCAAACCCCGAAAUUGCGUCAAACGACGCCAUUUCGGCUCUUAAUUUUUUUUUGUUUUCAAGUACUAUUGAACGACGACGUUUCUGUUUCAAUUUUUUAUUUGUUCUUAUUUGCUUUCAACGAAGUCGUUUUGGUUUGUAAAUGGCAGCCUUCUUCUUCCUCUUUCUUUAACCCAGCUGAACCUUUUCUUCUUCCUUUUCUUCGUUCUCUUAACGGCACUAUUUCUGCUUGAAUUAUUUUUUUGUUUGUUUGUUAUGAUUUGCUGUGAACGAAGUCGUUUUGGUUUGUAAAUGACAGUCUUCUUCUUCCUCUUUAUUUAACCCAGCUGAAACAAGUAAUUAAUUAAGCUUCUUCUCUCUCUUUUUCUUUUUAAAAUUUUUAUUUGUUUAGGGUGGGUAAAUUUUAAUUAUUAGAUCUAAAAAAACUUUAUUUUUUUUGGGUGGGGGUGCUUUGAAUUUGUGCAAUGUGCAAGUGCUCAUUGAUAGCUGGAAGAUUACAAGGAAGCAUAGAGAAUAAAAUAAAGAAUUAUUAGAAUACACACAUCAAGCAGAAGUUAGUUAACCGUGGCCUUGACCCUCAAACUCACCGCCCUCUCAACCAAAUUCAUAACCAUAAUAAUUUCAACAAAUAGACUAUUAAUAAUAAUGAAGAAAUAAUGCAUAGUAGCACCCAUUAUCAAGAAAUUCUCGACUUAGAGCUAUCCAUUGGACUUGCUUCUUCUGGAUUUGCGGACUCAAGAUCACUGCAGCAACAACAACAGCCGUAGCAACAGAAGCAAGUUGUUGGUUACAACAAGUUUUUUGAAGUGAAGCAAGCAAUUUGUUUGUGUUGGCAAUUGGGUUUUGGGAGAAGUAAACUUUGUAAGAAUUGUACUCAAAAUUCUAGUAUGGUGAAAUGAAGAGGAAGAGAAAACAGAUGGGUUCUGGGCUUCUGGCAUUGCUUUUGCCUUAAGCGUGAGAAUUUUUCCUUUUGAAAAACGGCGUCGUUUUAGAUCUCUUUCAGGGUUUGACCCGGGACAAACAUCAAUGCUGAUAAAGUAAUUGCUUACCGUCUGUUUUGCAUAUGAUAUGCCGUACGAUCUUCAUUCCUUUGCCAAUUCUUCCUCAGCUUCUCUAUAAAUAUCUAAGAGUGCCUUGAAAAUAAAUUUCAUGUACUCUGGCAGUGUAUCGAUGAGGCCAAUGUCCCAUCUGAAAAAUCAAAUAUAAUUGUUAUGUUAACACGUUCUUAAGAAAAUAUAUAAGCGAUACAAUUAAUUUAUUUCUAAUAAAAGUGUAUUAUGAAUUAAAUAUCCAAUCAAAGAAUUAUAUUAUAGGGUUAUUAUUGUUUACUUCAAGAGUUGUAAAAUAUCAAAUGACUAUAAGAAGUAUCAUUUCCUAUCAUUUUACUACUUUUCCGUUAAAACCAUUACUUGAUUAGUAAAAUAUCAAUUUUUCGUUUUACAGUAAAAUUAACAAAUAGAGGUAUCAAAUAAGAGACAAAAAUUAUUGGCAUGCCCUUUAAUUGUAAAAUAAUGGUUUUAACCAUGACUUUAUGAAUAACCCUAAAUUUAUCGUAACUAUAAAAAUGGUGCAUUAACAAAAUACUCUUGAAUAUUUUUCUUAAAAAAACACACUACUUAUUCUAAAAAAAACACUUAAAGCUUAUUUACAGAAUCAACACUUCCAUAUUUAAUUUUUUUUUUCUAGAAUAGAUUGUGAGUUUUUUUGGGCAAAAAUUUAUAGGGUAUUUUUGUCAAUUCACUACUUUUAUAGUCACAAUAAAUCAAGGGUUAUUCAAAAAAUUAUUGGUAAAACUAUUAUUUAAGAAUUCAUGUUUAAAACUAUUAUUCAUAAUUUUAUGUAUACUAUUGGAUACCUCUAUUGUGCAUUUUAUCAUAAAGAGUAAAAUUCAUAUUUUAUUAAUUAACUAAUGAUUCUAACAGAAAAGUAGUAAAAUAAAAGGUUUUACAAAGUUAUAGUAGUAAAAUGAUGGGGAACAAUACUUCUUAUACUUAUUUGAUAUUUUAUAAUUCUUGAAGUAAUGAAACGAUAAUAAUCCUUUAUUGUAUAGACAUGGGGUCUUGUUAAGUCAAAUCAUGUAUAACAUACAGCAACCACCGUAAUAGUCACUCAUGAUAUCCCCAUUAUUUAGGUUAUUGUAACCUAUAAAAUACAGAUAAUGCAACUUAACAACUACUAAAUAGGGAUGUAUAUGAUUUUAUAACCUUGUGACUGCUUCAGUAAAAAGUGUGAGCUCUUCAAAAGUACUGUAAGCAUCAAAUGUGUCGUAUAUUAUGGAUAUCAUGCAUAUCACUUUGGAUGCAAAAGUUCUACCAAAUGCCAAUUUGGGCUCAUAGGACACUCCCAAUAACAUCCAGAUAUAUAUCUCCACUAUUCUAUCUCUUGCAUAAGGCACCUUUUUAGGGAAGCCUAAAUCGUUCCACCACCUGAAAUUCAAUUUUAAAUCUAAUUAGAUAGAUAUUUUGCCAUAUUAUAAAGUGGUCACUCUAACAAUCGUUAUUUCUGUAGUAUAUAAAAAAUACAAAGAAGAAAACAAUUUGGUUUCAUCUUUUAAGGAAGUAGCAAGGGAAUUAUGAAAACUCGAGGGAUAUGUGGCAAAAGUUAAAAAUUUUAAAGAGAAGCUGGAAAUCUUCCAUUUUAUAUUUGGAGAAUUUGUUUCAUUAAAAAGAAAAGAGAGAAAUUUACAUGAUUUAUUUUUAUUGUUUUGUACUUUCAUCUAAUCAAUGAAUUUAUAUCACAUCCGUUCUUAAAAAAAAUUAUAAUUGUAUCAUUACUCUUUCAUUAUACACAUUAUCCUCCAAACGCUAUAAAUUUUUAUUAUUAUUAUUAUUAUUAGCAACAAGCACAUAAUAUACAAAAACUACAACCACUACCACUGUUGACAAAUCUAGAAUACAGAAAAUUUUUACUGCAAACUAAAAAUCUUGGUUUGGUAUUAAUAACUAAAUAAUAAUAAUAAUAACUAUUAUCAGAUAUUUUGCCUUUGAUUAUACAAGGGGGCAACUGGUAAAAUAUGAUUUCUCUUUCUAGGGAAAGUGACAAUCUCCCAUUUCAAAACAACACCAAUAAUAGGCUUUUCCACGUUGAAAGAAUAUACAUGAAGUUACCUGGUCAUGAUACUUGCUUCCUUCUGGUGUGCUGCUUGUAAUAUAUUAAAGUCUAACUUUGCAAACUUGAGCAAAGUUUCAUCAUGCAAAUCAUCCCUUGAAUAGAUAUCCAAAAAAUACCUUGCCUCUAACCUUGCUGCGGCUUUACGGAGAGGAAUUUGCAGAGAAUGACGUAUUUGUUCAGCAAGAUUAGAGUUUACAUGAGAAUGAUCAGAUACAGAUAUUACUGACUUAAGGUGAGUGGUAGUGAAAACAAUGGCUUCAUCUAAAAUGUCUUCCCCCCGAAUUGCUAGGUAUGCUGCCUCGUACAAACUCAACAUGCCUCGUAUAUCGUUGAUCAAUGAUUCCUUGAAUUUACCUUCAUCAUCUUUGAACUUCUCAAACACAUCUGAUGACCAUAUUCAAAAGAGGCGAGCUAGUCUCGAUUAGUGUACAUGCUUAAAUUUAAUUUGAUAAUCAACAAUAAUCUUAUAAUUAACAUAAAUAGUUUAAUUAACAAAAUGAGAAACUAUUACAUACCACAUGAAAUCUUAACUCCUUGCUGUCUAAAAAGUCGAAAACGAAGAGAAACAACGUAUAGAUCAUCACUGUCAAGAUCAUGAGAUACCUUUCCCAAUUCAUCUUCAAUCUCUUUUUCAAAAUGAUAAGCGACACCUAAUCGUUGUGCUGCAUCAAUCAUGUGUAGUUUUUGGGCAAGCUUAUUGGCAGUAGUGGUUAUCAUCCUCCUGACCUCUUGCUUCAGUGCUGCGUGCUGUUCUUGAGUUGCAGCGUCAAUUGUCUGCAAACGCAAGAAAUUACUUAAUAUUAAUGCAUUACGUAUGUCUAACAAACGAUUACAGAUGACAUAUGAUUGUCCAUCGAUUGGGCUUGCUUCUCUGAUAAUUAAUGAGAUAUUUUGAUAUUGCAAUUUUUUAAUUACCUCGACAUCGGCAGCGGAUUUCAGGAAAUGGUUUCCCCAUAAAGUAGGAUGAAAAUCUGCAAUGGGACGAACAGUUUCUUCAGUUAAACUGGAAACUGCUGCUAGAAGUGGAAUAGACAUAUCUUUCGUUCCGUUUCAGACAAACCAAAUACAACUAUAUAGUUUGUUUUUAAUAGGCAAGAAUCAAUCUCACCCAUCAAUCAAGAGAAAUUAAAUGUCAAUACUAAAGUUUAGGGUAAUUCUCCCUAAACUUAGGCUUUAGUUCCUCAUCUUUCCUUGUACAAUAUCUAAUCACUUGUAUAAAGCUAGAACAUGCAGUAAUACAAUACAUCUUUUCAACCAUUCAAAUCUUUUGUCUCAACAUGGUAUCAGAGCUUUUUUAAGCUCACACGAGUCAUUGAUCCUUGGCCUUGGCCUGUUUCCUUUCUUUUUUUUUUAAUUUUCUUUUCUUCCAGCAUCAGCCUUCACCAUGGCCAAUGAAAACUCAGCUACCUCUAGCCUUAACCAAACUUUUACAAACAUGAAUCCCAACAAUCUCAUUGCUAUAAAUGCAGCCACCCAACUCCCUCUAAAAUUAACACCAACAAACUACUAUUCGUGGAAGACGCAAUUUGAUGCACUUCUCUAUGGAUAUGAUUUGCUCGGCUACAUUGAUGGCACCAAACCUUGCCCAUCUCCAGAGACAACAGUUGAUGAAAAGAUAGUUCCAAACCCAGAUUUCACCCUUUGGAUGCGACAAGACAAGCUUCUUCUUCUCGGCAUCAUCGGCUCACUUAGCCACAAAGUUGUACCUGUAAUUCGUUCAUGCAAAACAUCUGCUGAAGCCUGGAAUCGCCUUGCCAAACUUUAUGCCAAUCCUUCAUCCUCCAGAACUAUGGGAUUGGCUGAGCAACUUACUCUCAUUAACAGAGGCUCCCAACCUGUCGCUGACUAUCUUGCCACAAUUCGUGACAUUGCUGAUGAAUUAGCUUUAAUUGGAGCCCCAGUUCCAAAUCAAUAUCUUAUCACCCAUACUCUUAAUGGUGUGGGAACUGAAUUCAAAGAACUUGCAGCUGCAGUACGGGCACGAGAUACUGUGAUUAGUUUUGAUGAACUACAUGACAAACUUGUUGAAUAUGAGGCUUUCCUCAAACGUGAAGACCUUCGCUCCAGUGGAAAUCUUGGCAAUAUGACAGCUAAUGCUGCUCGUUUUCCCACAGAAAAUGGAAACCAAGCCAACAAAAAAAUUUCCAUAAUAAUAGUGGAAAUCAAGGCCAGCAUCCUCCUAAUUCGGGCAACAAUCAGAGACACAACUUUAACAAUUACAAUUCAGGCAACCAUCACUCAGGCAAAAAUUCCAAUGUGGUUUGUCAAUUUUGUGAGAAACGGGGUCAUACUGCUCGACAAUGUAAUUCUGCUAAAAAGUUGUUCUCCCACUCUUCAGCCCCUACCGCCAAUCCCACCACCACCAAUAAUUCCUCACCUAAUUGGCUUUUAGAUACAGGAGCAUCUCACCAUGUCACAUCUAAUCUCAACAAUUUAUCACUCAGUCAACCUUAUGAAGGUCCUGAUGACAUUGUUAUAGGUGAUGGUACAGGUUUGCAUAUUACUCAUGUUGGCCAGUCCACUCUCUCCACUCCCUCAAACUCAUUCACUCUUUCUAAUGUGCUAUGUGUUCCUUCUAUGAAACAAAAUUUAGUCUCUGUCUCUCAAUUUUGUAAAAAUAAUAAUACUUCAAUUGAAUUUUUUCCAUCUUUCUUUUGUGUAAAGGAUCUGUCCACGGGAGCACAUCUCGCUCGAGGGCGGAGCAAGAAUAAUGUUUAUGAAUGGUCCAAUAUGGGAGUAUCUACAACAAUGAAGCAAGCUUGCAUGGGAGUCAAAGUCUCUCUUGAGAAUUGGCAUAAUCGACUUGGUCACCCAUCCACCAAAACACUUCGUCAUGUGGUCUCCCAAAAUGAUCUUCUUGUGUUUCCUAAUUCAUCUUCAUCAUUAUUUUGUGAUUCCUGUCAAUGCAAUAAAAGUCAUAAGUUACCAUUUGGUACUUCAACUUUACAAAGUCGUUUUCCAUUAGAUCUCAUCUAUACUGAUGUAUGGGGACCUUCUCCAAUUCGUUCAAUAGAUGGUUAUUCUUACUACAUCAUCUUUGUUGAUCAUUUUACAAAAUACUCAUGGUUAUUUCCAUUAUCCUACAAAUCUGAGGCCUUUACAAUAUUCCCCAAAUUCAAAACAAUGGUAGAAAAUUAUUUCAAUUCCACCAUUCGCACUAUUUAUUCUGAUGGAGGAAAAGAAUAUUAUGGCCUAAAAUCCUUAUUUGAAAAAUAUGGAAUCCAGCAUCUUAUAUCUCCACCAUACACUCCUCAACAUAUUGCUUCCGCUGAACGUCGUCAUAGACAUGUCGUAGAAACAGGUUUAACUCUUCUUCACAAGGCAUCCUUACCUUUGUCACUUUGGCCAUUUGCCUUUAAAACUGCAAUAUAUCUCAUUAAUAGACUUCCUACACCUAUUCUUAAGGAUAAAUCUCCAUUUGAGUCUCUUUUCCAUCAUAAGCCUAAUUAUUCUAAACUCCGAACUUUUGGGUGCUUGUGUUAUCCAUGGUUACGUCCUUAUACAAAACAUAAGCUUGAACAACGUUCCAAAUCAUGUCUAUUCCUUGGUUACUCUAAUGUCCAUAAUUCUUACAUCUGUUUUGAGCCACAAGAUCACAAAUUUUAUUUUUCUCGUCACGUCCAAUUUGUUGAAAGUGUGUUUCCUUCCUUCUCUAUGUCAAAUGAAUGUGACAGAAUUAAUUCCUACACUUUGCAAAAAUGGUCAGCUGCAUCUCCCUCCCUUAAAUCUCUCCAACAAGACCUUCCUUUUUCAGAUCAGUCUUCUUCAAACAUACCUCCUUUGUCACCAAAAAAUCUCUCUCCAUUAACUACUCUUUUACCCGUUACAUCUCCUUCCAAUUUAAUUCCACCACCUCCUUCAAAAAUUUCCACAAAUCCUGAACCCAAAUCCACAUCCCAUAAAUCUACUUAUUCUCCUUCCAAAUGCGAUACACCUAUUGACAAAAGAACACAAGGAUCUCCCACCAAAUCGUUGCCUUCAUCAACAUCCAGUCAUUUCUCCACCAAUAAUGGUAACUCCUCAAAUCAUGCACUUUCUCAUGGGCCAAGUCAGCCCACAUCAAAAUCAUCUCCUUCUCGGUCCGUUAUCCCUUUAAUGACCAAUUCUCAUGCCGAUUAUGACUCCAUGCAAGAUUGUGAUCUUCAACAUGUGGUUGAUCCUCCCAUAUCGGAUACCAAUCAACCAACGUUUUCAGGCUCCUCUUCUAGUGAGAUACACCCUAUCAAUGAACUUGUUCAUGUUCCAGUGCCAGCUCCUCCUACAACUAUACAAACCCGAUCAAAAAAUAACAUUUUCAAACCCAAAAAAUUUUUUUCCCUCACUGCUACUAAGCAUUCGAUCCCUCCAUCACUUGAACCCACUACCACCACUGAAGCCCUCAAACACAAAGAGUGGAGAGAUGUUAUGUGUGAAGAGCUUGAUGCCUUAAAAAAAAAUGGCACAUUGGAAUUGGUGCCUCCUGCAGCUCAUCAAAAUGUUAUCGGAUGCAAAUAGGUCUUUCGAAUAAAAAGAAAUCCUGAUGGUAGCAUUGCUCGGUAUAAAGCACGUCUUGUUGCCAAAGGUUUCCAUCAACGACCCGGUCUGGAUUACAAAGAGACGUUCAGUCCUGUUGUAAAACCAACCACAAUUCGAGUUGUUCUCUCUAUUGCCAUAUCCCAAGGAUGGAACGUGAAUCAAUUAGAUGUCAACAACGCAUUCCUUCAUGGGCAUAUUGCUGAAAAUGUUUAUAUGUCACAGCCCCCUGGCUUCAAAGAUCACUCUCAGCCACAUCAUGUUUGUCGCUUGCACAAGUCUCUUUAUGGCUUGAAGCAAGCGCCUAGAGCCUGGUUCACUGAGCUUAAGAAUUUUAUUUUAUCUCUGGGCUUUGUGAAUUCUUUCUCUGACUCUUCAUUAUUUAUAUACACUAACAAGUCUAUACUAAUCUAUUUUUUAGUUUAUGUGGAUGACUUGUUGAUUACAGGAAAUUCUUCAAGCUUUAUUCGUCAAGUUAUUGACUCUCUCUCCAAGCGAUUUUCCAUUAAGGAUCUUGGUCAUCUUCAUUAUUUCCUUGGUGUGGAGGUGAUUCCUACAACUCACGGGAUAUUCCUCUCUCAACAGAAAUAUAUUUGUGAUCUUUUAGCCAAAUUCAAAAUGGAGGGUAUCAAAGAUUGUGUGACUCCUCUUAGUUGUACUACACGCCUCAUGCUCAAUGAUGGCUCGCCAAAAGUUGAUGCUUCUCAAUAUCGUAGUCUUAUUGGCGGCAUGCAAUACCUCUCGCUGACACGACCAGAUAUGGCCUAUGCAAUAAACAAAUUGGCGCAAUAUAUGCAUUCUCCCAGUCAAACGCAUUGGACAGCCGCAAAACGUUUACUUCGAUACUUGAAGCACACUCUCACGUAUGGUCUCUUUAUACGUCGCUCACAGCCAUUUUCUUUGACAGCCUUCUCGGAUGCUGAUUGGGCUGGAAAUCGUGAUGAUUGUACCUCUAUAUCAGCCUUUGUUAUUUUUCUUGGUGGCAACCUAGUGUCUUGGUGUUCUAAGAAGCAACGGACAGUAGCUCGCUCCUCAACAGAAGCUGAAUAUCGCUCAGUUGCAUCAGCUGCUGCUGAAAUUACUUGGCUAACCAAUCUUCUUCAAGAGUUACACGUCUCUCUCCCCAAGCCGCCUCGCCUUUUUUGUGAUAACAUUGGUGCUACAUACUUGUGCGUCAAUCCAGUUUUUCACUCAAGAAUGAAACAUCUUGCUCUGGAUUUUCAUUUCGUACGGGAAAAAGUCUCUAAUGGUUCACUUCAAAUAGCUCAUGUCUCUACUCAUAAUCAGCUUGCAGAUGUGCUUACUAAACCACUUGCCAAGCCUCGUUUCACUCACCUUCGAUCCAAGAUUGGUGUUUCCGAUGGAAACGCCAUCUUACGGGGGCAUAAUAGGCAAGAAUCAAUCUCACCCAUCAAUCAAGAGAAAUUAAAUGUCAAUACUAAAGUUUAGGGUAAUUCUCCCUAAACUUAGGCUUUAGUUCCUCAUCUUUCCUUGUACAAUAUCUAAUCACUUGUAUAAAGCUAGAACAUGCAGUAAUACAAUACAUCUUUUCAACCAUUCAAAUCUUUUGUCUCAACAGUUUUUAAGAGUAGGAGUUGCAAGAACCUCAAUACACAAAUGCUCUAUAUAUAGAGAGAAACGAUGAGGCAGUGGAACACUUUCGUUGGUACUUUGUCAUGUGCUCAGUAGUGAUCCUACGUUGGGAUCAUUAAAUUUAAUAUUAAAAAAUUCAAUGGAUCUGUUUGGGGGAUGCAUGAUUAAACCAUAUCAUAAAAUACUCUUGGACCGUUAUCUCAACAUAUUAUGGGUGCGUUUGAGAUUAAGGUUAAACAACUGCAGCUUAAAAGUUACAGUAGUAAAGUAUUUGGUAAACACUAGCUGCUGUAACUUGAAAGUUAUGUUGAUAUGAUUUUUCACUUGUAUAAUGGAGAAUCUAUUAUAUCUUUAAUAAUUUUUAUCAAAAUUAUUAUUUAAAAUUUAUAUUUACUACAUAUUAUUAACUUUUGUUUCAUAUUUACAGCUUUUUUUUUCACUGCAGCUGUAGUUUAAAAAGUACAGCACCUCAAUCCCAAAUGCAACCUAAGAUGACUGCGAUUAUUUUACAUAAAUUUUUAAAUUUAGAAUUUUCUUUUGAGGUAACGAUAGAGAGUUAACUCUAACCGUAUCUCUAACUCUAUACAAAAAUAAAUAUAUAAAAGUUAAAAUAAUAAUAAAGUUAUAUUAAAUUUUAUCUUAAUCACAACCUGGCCACAAAAGUUUAUCUUGAUCAGAUUGAGGUGGGGCUCAUUGAUGAAAGGGAUACAUAUCAUUUUUCAGCUUUCUUAUGCAACUUGCAUAUUGUGAUAUUGUCCGUACAUUAACUAACUACUCAACGUAACGACCGUAAAUUAUUUUGAAAACCUAUCUCUCUUUUAAUUUCACAAUAAUAAUAUUCCAAGAAGGCCAUAAUUAUUUAACUUACAUUUAUUUUAAGAGUAAUAAUAUAGCCACAAACUCUUAUACAAACUUAUUUUAUACAAACUGAUGUGACAUGAUAAGAUUUGUUGAAUUAAAUAUCACUUGACCCACGUGAUUUGUUUUUAUUCUUUUAUAUUUUCAUUCAACCAAUGAAUUAAUGUCACGUCAGUUUGUACAAAAUAAGUUUGUAUAAGAGUUUGUGGCUGUAUCAUUACUCUUAUUUUAAUUACCCGUACCAAGCAAAAUAUUUCAGUUAUUUUAACUAAAUAAAUAUAUUUUAGUUAUUCUUAAAGCCAAAGUCUAUUUCUGGUUAGUAAAUUAUCCAAACAUUUUAUUGGGGUUGUUUCUAAUAACUCCAAUGAUAUCAUAAAUAUAAAAAUUUUCUUUCUGCAGGACUUAUCUCAAAUAAAUUCUCUAAUUCAUUUUGAAGAUGAAACUAAAAAAAAAAAAUGAAUCAUUGAGGCUUAAUUAAAAUAUUUUACUUAAGAGUUCCAAUGAUAUUUAAGGGAAUAUGAUUUUUAUCAGAAUUUCUUCUCUUAACCCAUUUUUCAAAAAUUCUAUUUCAAAUAAAUUAACAUCAUUAUAAGUGCAUUUAACAAAUUUCACGAUUCUAAUCCUUAAAAUACUUGGACCACCAGGGAUCUUAGAAAAAUAGUAUGUGAACCACAUUUUUAGCUAUUAUCAACAACAGUAAUGUAAUAUAUUUUCUAAUCCCUAGUGUUCCCUUCGUGGGUCUACUGAUGCUAUCAACAAUAACAAGCAAUUUUUAAUAAAAACAAUCAUUUUACUAUUCUUUUUAAAUGUACUUCUAUAAUUUUGAGAGAUUGGAAGAUUUGAAUCCUCUACCUAAUGAAUAAGGGAGAGAAGAGUUGUCAACUACUCAAUUAAGGAGCUCUGUUGGUUAGUUUACUAUUAAAUUUUGGUGUAUUUUAUUUACGAGUGAGAUUAUUUGCACUCUAAAAUGUACUUUGAACACCAUAUUAACUAAAAAAUUAUGGUACUAAAAUAACAUUCAUAUAAUUUAAUAUUAAGGAUAAUUUAGAAAAAUAGUUAAACAUUAUGAAUUUGGACACCUAUCUAACACAUCCAUUAAUCAUACCAUUAUUUAUGCUAACCUUAAUUUCAUCUCUUUUAUUGGGUGCCGAAUUGAAUUUAUUUUGUACUUAGAGAUCAUAAAAGAUUUGUGGGCAAGUUCCAAAAAUAUAUGAAGAUGUUUCUAUUAAUCCUUUUUGUUAUUUUUAAUUUUGUUAAUAUGUUAAUUUAUGUGGUCUUUUGCUUUAAAGUUUAAAGCGUAUAAGGCGACGAAGAAGAAAAAUGUUGAAGAUGCUGGCUCGAUGAAUAAGAUGGAAUAUGGAAGAAUUAUGUUGAACAUAUAUCCAAUUAAUUGUGCUUUGUGCACAAAAUUAAUGAAAAAGGAAUAAGAAAGAAAAAGUUUUGAGUAUACAUGAUCUUGUGGGAUGCUCCAUCAACCCAAGAAAAAGUUUGUUAUUGUUGAAAUCCCGUAACACUUAUGUAUAUUUGAAAAAGUUGAGUAUAUUUGUAGAAUAGUAGGUCCGAAAAUGAAACAAAAGUCGUACUCACUGAAUUAAGUUUAGCAUCAAAAAAGAAAACAAUCAGUGACUGAACUGACAAAUGACCUAAUUGAAUUUAAUGGAUCUUAAAAUACAAUGAAUCACGUAAUAAAACACUACUGAAGUGACUGAACUGACGUAUGACCUUAUUACGCAUGCUGACACUGUGACACAUGCAAAUUCUGUUCUACAAAUCAUGAUUAUAGAUAGUGAAAAACUCAAAACCAAAAUACUGUAUAAGGUAGCACAUAGAACGUAAGCUGCAUUGAAAAUCUCCUCUCACGUUUACGUAUGACACUAAAAUUGAAACACCUGUCUUAUCACUUCAACCUCUAUCCUUGUAUCAACGUUUUAUCAUAUUACUUUUAGAGUGCUGCUAGGUAGCGGGAGGAACGAGAGAAUGACGAGAGAAACGGCAUUCUCUCCUGUCGUUUCGCUUCUCGUUCCUCUCGCUAAAGAAUGAAUAAAAAAUAAUAAAGAAAGACUGCUUUUAUCACUUCGUGCAGAGUAAAAUUUUAGCAUUUUGUCUCCAGCCCUCACUCUUCCUCUCUCCCUCACUUUCCUCUCUCCCUCACGCUUCCAGAAGCUCCGUCACGGGUUCCCGCGUGCCUCACGCUUCCAGAUCCCUCACGGCUUCCUUCCGGCGUGCCUCACGCUUCCAGAUCCCUCACGGCUUCCUUCCGGCGUGACUCACGCUUCCAGAUCCCUCACGGCUUCCUUCCGGCGUGCCUCACGCUUCCAGAAGUUCCCUCACGGCUUCCGGCGUGCCUCACGCUUCCAGAUCCCUCACGGCUAAAGUUCUUGAUUACCUUUGCUUCGUACAAAAAGGGAAGGCUUUGCACUAGUAAUUUUUUUUUUUCUCGGCUAAAGUUCUUUAACGAAGGGGAAGGCUUUGCACUAGUAGUUUUUUUUCUCGGCUUUGCACUAGCAAAGACAUUCUCUCGAUCAUUUCUCACCUUAUGUAACCGGCCCCUCUCUCUCCCUAAUCCUCUAAAGUUAUUCAUAUUUCCUAAAUUCCAUUUUUCUCUUUUCUUCCCCAUUUUUUUUUUCUAUGUAUGUAUCUCUGAAUAUGCUGAAUUACUGGAUAUUAUGAAUUACUUGACCACUUUCGAUCUCCGGAUGGACCUAUUUUUUUGAGGAUUUGUGGUGAAUAUACUUGCGAUGGCAUACCAAAUGAUUAUCUUGGUGUAAGUUUUAAUUGUAUCCUUAACUAAUAUAAUUAAAAAAAAAAAAAAGAACAUUCAUGGUUAUUGUUGAGUGGCUAGAAUAAUUUGAGGAAUAUUUGGACACAUGUAUCAUUGGAUAGGUUCUGGCAAAGAAGUUUGGAGCAGCUGUGGUUUCACUUGAACAUCGUUACUAUGGGAAGAGCUCACCAUUUAAAUCAUUAUCGACAGAAAAUUUGAAAUAUCUUUCAUCUAAGCAGGCACUCUUUGACUUGGCCAUACGUUUUAUUUUUUUUCUGCAUACGUUCUUCUUGGAUAUAAUUUCAAAUUUGCAGUCAAGCAGCCCUCUGUUAUGAUUGAACAUUUUUCUUUCGAGUUUGUUCCGUGCAUGCAUUCAGUUCAUAGUAUAUAGAGUAUACACACACAUAAAAAUUAUUUCUCGUUAAUGGUAGCUUGCAAUUAUGUAUGUGGAACAGGAUAUAGAGUCUUGAUCAUCUUUCUUUUGGCUACUAAUUCUUAUUUCAUGGCAAGACUUCAUUUGUUCGCAAGUGGCGUUGCUAAAUGGAGUCUCUUUAGUUUUAUAUUCUUUAUCUCCUCUCGUUUGUGGAUAAUUUGUAUAAUUGUAAUAUUUACCAAAAUCUUAAUUCCAACAAACAAAAACAACACAAUAACCAAACAUUUGAAAUGAUUUUUUAAUUUGCCACUUUUUCUAACUUAAAUCUCAAUUCUGACAGUUCAAAGAUAAAUCUAACUGAAAUAAUAAUGAAAAUAAUCGAAACAAAUAUAAAUCAAACAUCAAUUGCCGCGAUUGUUGUCUUCAUAACCCGCAAUAAAAUUUACAUUGUUUAAAUGCCAGAAGCUUAAAUUACAACAAGAUCCAGCAACAACACCAAAAAAAAAAAAAACAAACUUAACUUCCACAAUACACUUAAAUUCCACGCCAGAUUUUUCACAUAACAAACAAUUAAAACAAAAAGAACUUAACUUCCACAAUACACUUAAAUUCUACGCCAGAUCUUUCACAUAACAAAAAAUUAAAACAAAAAGAAUAAGCUGAAAAAAGCCACUGCUCACUUAAUCUUUGCCGAGAGAGCCGAGAGAGGGGAAGAGGGAGGAGGUCGUGAAGCUGCGUGAGAAGAAGCCUGAAAGUGAAGCUGCGUGAGAACUGACGAAAAUGAAGGAAAAUGAAAGUGAAAGAGAGAGGAAAGUUUCAUGUGGGGGAAAGUGAAAAAGUCAAGGAGAGAGGAAAGUGAAAUCGUGGGGGAAGUGAAAAAGUGAAAAGGGAGCAAAGCAUUCCAACGCUAUUUGUUUAUUCAUUUGAUCAUUUCUUUUAUUUUUUUUAUGUUUAAAGAGUGAGAGGAAACGAGAGGAGAAACGACAGGAAAGAUUGCCGUUUCUGUCGUCCUUCUCUCGUCCCUCUCGCAUAUUUGUAGAAUAGUAGGUCCGAAAAUGAAACAAAAGUCGUACUCACUGAAUUAAGUUUAGCAUCAAAAAAGAAAACAAUCAGUGACUGAACUGACAAAUGACCUAAUUGAAUUUAAUGGAUCUUAAAAUACAAUGAAUCACGUAAUAAAACACUACUGAAGUGACUGAACUGACGUAUGACCUUAUUACGCAUGCUGACACUGUGACACAUGCAAAUUCUGUUCUACAAAUCAUGAUUAUAGAUAGUGAAAAACUCAAAACCAAAAUACUGUAUAAGGUAGCACAUAGAACGUAAGCUGCAUUGAAAAUCUCCUCUCACGUUUACGUAUGACACUAAAAUUGAAACACCUGUCUUAUCACUUCAACCUCUAUCCUUGUAUCAACGUUUUAUCAUAUUACUUUUAUUUUCGAUCAUUCAAUUUGGGGACCUGUCUAUGGUACAGAUUCUGUAACAAACAUUUCCCGUCAUCCCACCAUCCGAUUUUCUAUUGUUCAGUUUCUCACUCCACAUCCAACCACAUCCAACGGCUGAUGCUGCAGUCUGUACCUUACAGAUUCUGUAAGCUAGUCGAGUCCUCAAUUUGGUAUUCAAUUAUUUGGGUCGGCUCUACUAUUCUGUCGGUAUUUACCAUUCAAUUUGAUUUAAUUUUCUCCCAGCAGCUUUUAACAUUUUUAAUUUAUUAUUUUACAGUUUUCAUAGUACUGUAUUAUUCUUACGAUGUUCACGCUUUCUUAAAAAUAAAAAAUUCAUUACAAUAUUUAAAUAACAUAUAUCUUUUUUUAUAAGUUUAAUGUCAAAAGAGUAAUGAGGUGCCUUCAAGUUCAGGGACUACGAAAUCAGAAGCAGAUUUUAGCAAAUGGUUUUCCACCAGUAGGAUUGAAAACUGCAAUGUGACGAAUAGUUUCUUCGAAUGGAAUUAGAAUAGACAACUUCCUUACAAAGAAAUCAAGUAGAACUUAAUAAAUUAAUCUGAACUGAAUCAAUGGGGAGGAUCAUUUUAGAAAGAUAAAAGUUUGUAAAUAACAGGCAGCAUAAACUUUACGACACUUCUAUCGAAGUACCAAGUCGAGCAGCCUCUUCAUUCUAGUCAGCCGCCUUUUUAUUUAUUACAUAAGAUUAAUACUCAAAUUACAACUCAUAUUUAAUAAAAUUAGUAUACUGAGACUAAUUCUAAUUUAUGAGAGAUUAGUAUACUGAUAUUUACUAUCAGACAGUUACUGGGACUAAUUUAUGAGAGAUUAGUAUACUGAUAUUUACUAUCAGACAGUUACUGGGACUAAUUUAUGAGAGAUUAGUAUACUGAUAUUUACAAUCAGACAAUUACUGUGACUAAUUUAUAAAUCUUAUAUAACACAGUCUAAAUUUUAACCCUCUCUAAUAUUCGAGGGAUGUUCACUCCACUUAGAUUUCGAAAGGGAGAUGACUAUCUUCACUCAAAUUGAGGAAGGAAAUUAACCCCUACAAUGCGUUGUGAGGACUUGAACCCAUGACCUCAUAAUUGUGAGGUUUGGGUUCUAACCACUAGGCUUUAACCUAGUGGCUUUAAUCAGCCACCUUUGAAAAUUAAGAAAUUUAAGAAAAAUUGUCGUGGGCAUAUUUUUCACAUUAUCUAAGAGAUAUUUGUGAAAAUUUGCACUCAUUCUAAAAAUUUGUCCAUACUUGCACAUCCAAAAAUAAUGAUUACUUAUUUAUAUUUGUGUGUGAAAUAAUUUUUUUAAUUAGAAAAUGUGACCAUAUCAUAGUCAGAAACAAGUUAAAAAAAUACAAAUUUUAAUGUAGUGUGCUUUGCCCUUUAUCUUCUCACUUGUAGCUCACUCUAUGUAUAUAGUAAUUUAUAAUAAGAAAAUCUCUUACUUUAAUAAAACAAGAGACAAGCUGAAAAUGAUAAAACAUACACUCCAAUGUAGUGUAUUAUGUCAUUUACUGUAUUAAAAUUUAUAUUGUUUAUCUUUUUAUCUAUUACUUUAAUAAAAUAUGAAAUUAUCUUAUACUUUAUAUAUUUUUAUCUUUUAAUUUAGAAAAAAAAGACACCCACACCCCCAAUAUUUGAGAAAAUGGUCACAAAAACUCCCAAAUUUUCAAAAAGGCACACCAUCUUUUCUUUGAUGAUAAUCUCUUUUCAAUAUAGUAAUUAAAAAUUGACUUUAAAGUUUUUAAUUCAUACAACCUUAAUAUAAAUAAUAUAAUCUAUCUAGUAAACUAAUAAUAUUAAAUUAUUUUUAACAUUUAAAAAUUAAAAUUUUAAAUUAUUAUAUUUAUUUUAAUAAUAUAAUUGUAUUUAUUAUAAAUAUUUUAAAUAAAUCUUUGAGUUAAAUAGACUUUACAGUUAACAUAAUAUCUCCCUAUUAAUAAUAUUAAAAUUAUAUUUUAAGUAAUAUUCAAAAUAAUUUUAAUUUUAAAUUUAUUUACUUUAAUAUCAUGUUUCUAUUUAUUAUUAAAAUUACUUUAUUAUAAUAAAAUAGGUAUAAUAGAUUGUAUAAUAUUUUAAAAAUUUUAAAAUAUUAAAAUUAUUUUAAAAUAUAUAUAUUAUUACAUUUAUUUUAAUGUCAUAUUUCUAUUUAUUAUAAAAUUUGAGGUCAUUUUUUUUUAGUUCAUAGAAUUAAAGGGUAUUAUGGUAAAAAAAAAAUUUACUGUCUCUUAUUAAAAACUUAGAAGUUUUUAUAACUGUUUUUUUAAACGGUGUAGGUAUCUUUAUUCCUUUAAUUUAUCUAUUACUUCAAUAAAAUAUAAAAUUCUCUUAUUAUAAAAUUACUUUAUAUUUGCGUGCGCACGCGCACGUGGGACAUAAAACUAGUGUUGCAACUUUAUUCUACGUAAAUUAAGUUAAGAUGAUCUCAAACCAUGCUAGGCCAAAAAAAAAAAAAAAACCUUAUACGACUUGCUCAUGCAGUCAUGAUGGCAGAAAAAUCCCAUCUGUCAUAGGGCCUAGGAAUCCAACCAAAUUGGGACACUUUCUAGGUGUAGAACCAGUUUAAAAUUUGAUUGGACCGGAAAGGGCCUAAGAUUAAAGCCGGGAUUUAGAUUGGGUUGGUUUUGCAGCUUGUCAUGGCUCUAAAACCCAGCCCAAAGUGCUUCUGGCUUUUAUCUAAUGGUGUUAAAAAAUUCUGGGAUGUCAAUUCUUGCCAUUUCAUUAUACUCAAAGCAAGGAUCCAUAAAAUAUACUGUUUAUGAGCCAUUUCAAUCUUUCUUUGCAUUAGUUUCUAAAAAGUUUUCAUAAAUUACAUCAAUGUAUACAUGUAUGACUCAAAUUAUAAUCCCAUUUCAGGACAUUUUUAUAGAAUGCGCUCUGUCAAAAAAGCUUAAACACCCGAGAGUGAUAGAAAAGGUAGAAGUAGAGACGAGGAAAGACUUUCAAAAGGAAACAACUGUUGAUGAAGCAGGCCUUCAUGAAUUACAACACUUAAAGAUAGUCAUCAAAUAAACUUUAGAUUAUAUCCUCCUGCUACAUUGCUUUUACAUGAGAAUGUAGAGAGGCUUGCAAAAUUCGGGGAUAUGAUUCCAGGGUCAUGGCUACAAGUGAAAUCAUUUUGAAUUGAAUCCCAUUUGGAGCUGGAAGAAGGAUGUGCCCAGGUCUAUCUUUCCAUAUGGCCAAUGUUUAUAGUCUCAAAUGCUCUACCACUUCGAUUGGAAACUCCAUGAUGAAAAAUCUUCUACGACUGAGGCUUUCGGUGUUACUAUAAGAAGGAAAGGUGAUAUGUUUUUAAUUCCUAUUCCUUAUAAUUCUUUUUUUUUUAUGUAGAAAGAAAUGCUUUCAUUAAACCAACUGGGUGAUUACAUUCAUGAUUUGUGGGGGAAAAGAUUCCUUCCAGACACAAUCAUCACUGCAUUCUAAAGCCAUUUUGGCUAUAGCAUGUGCCAUUGCAUUACAUUCCCUUGGAAUGUGCUGGAUUACAAUCAUACUGUCUCCCUCAAUUUUGUUUUGGAUAUCUUCAAUGCACCAAACAAUCUAUGUUCUACUACUCCUCUUACGCAGCACCAAGUCAACCACCUCUUUUGAAUCCGAUUCGACAGUCAAAGGGGUCCAUCCUGCAUCUUUGGCCACCUGGAUUCCCAGGUUAAUAACUGCUGCUUCUAUUUGUGCCACAUCCCCAUUGAACCUUAUCUUUUUCACUGCUGUUGCCAAAACGCUUCCAUUUUGAUCUCUUAUCACUGCCCCUAGUCCUCCUUGGCGUGUCCCUUUAUUAAUUGCUGCAUCAACAUUUACUUUGAAUUUUCCCUCGGGAGGGGGAAGCAAACUUGAAUUUCUAUCUAUUUCUGAUCCAGCUGCCAUUUUCACUUUGUGCAUUUUAACUCUAGUGUAUGCCUCCACCAUAGCUUCAGCUUUAGAUGCUGCUCUCUCUGGAUCCAGAGUUUUCAUCUCAAAGACAAACUGAUUUCUAGCAUACCAGGCUACCCACCAUAGAGCAACUAUAAGCUUCAGCUCCUAUUUACUUCUUCUUUUUGCUAUCUCAUACAUCUGUCCUAACAAAUUUGGAGAGCUCAGAAGCUGCACUUCAUCUCUGAAAGGAGUCCAUUUCCACAUUUGCUUCGCUGCUUUACAUUAUAUUACAGCAUGUAUGGUACUUUCAGCCCUCAUCUUGCAUCUUGGACAGAUUGGAUCUUUCACAAUUUUUCUCUUCCAUAAAUUUUCUGUUGUUGGGAGCAGAUUGUUGAUGGCUCUCCACAUGAAAAUCUUGAUUUUCUCUGGGAGAUCAAGGGACCAAAUGACAUUCCAAAGACAAUGGGUAUUGCUGGAACAGCUUAGGAAAUCCGAGUGUUUUAAUCUCAAAGCAACCUGAUAUCCACUCUUGACAGAGUACAACCCUUUCUUGUCGUAGUGCCACAACAAUUGGUCUGGUUUUGGUCUGGUAGGUAGAGGAAUUCCGACAAUUUGCUCUGCAUCUUCAGGCUUGAAGUGUUGGUGUAUCAGAGCUUCCUUCCAGUGCUGAUUUUCAUCAAUUAACUCUGCCACCUUACACUCGGGAUUUAAAGUUGGCUUUGAAAUGGGUUUAAAAGUCUGUGGUCUGGGCAUCCAGUUGCUUUUGUACACUUUGAUUUUAUCCCCAGUGCCAAUUCUCCAUCUCAUUCCUUGGUGUAUAACUUUCCUUCCCCAAAGUAUACUUCUCCAAAUAAAAGAAGGGUUGGAUCCUAAUUUGGCUUGUAAGAAAUCAGUAUUUUUGAAAUACCUUUCUUGUAGUACCCUUGCCAAAAUAGAUUGUAGAUGCUGGAUUAUUCUCCAGCUUUGUUUCGCUAACAGUGCUUGAUUGAAGCAAGCAAAAUCCCUGAAUCCAAGCCCUCCUCUUAUUUUUGCUUGGCACAAACUCCUCCAAUUUGCCCAAUGGAUGCCAUUUUGCUCUUUUUUUUACCCCCACCAAAAUCGGGCAAUGGCUCUUUUGAUGUUUUCACAUACGGUUAUGGGGAUUUUGAACACUCUCAUAGCAUAAGCCGGUACGGCUUGAGCCACAGCCUUGAUUAAAAUCUCCUUUCCUCCACUUGAAAACAACUUGCUUUGCCACCUUGACAGUUUACUACUGAUUCUUAGCUGAAUGUCCUUGAAAAAGCUAAUUUUCUUUCUCCCAAUCAUCGAGGGUAAACCCAAAUAUUUUUCAUGCUUUGACACUACAUUUAGCUGAAAAAUAUUUUUAAUGAUGUUUAUCUGCUCCGCUGAUGUAUUUCCACUGAAAGACAUGGAAGAUUUUUCAAAAUUGAAUAUCUGGCCUGAAGCUGCUGCAUAACAAUCAAAGACUUGUUUUAGGUUCUCGCAAUCCUCAGUUUUGGCUCUACUGAAAAUCAAGCUGUCAUCAGCAAAUAGGAGAUGGUUGAUGGAGACCUCUUUGCUGAAUUUCUAUCCCUGUAUCAGCUGCUUCUUCUCUGCUUGGAUCAACAAAUUCGAGAAAGCUUCUGCACAAAGAAUGAACUAAUAUGGGGAUAAAGGGCAGCCUUGUCUUAGGCCCCUUUGAGGCUGAAUUAAGCCAUUAGGUCCCCUUUAUUAGCACUAAGAAUGAGGAUGUUGAUAUACAGUUCAUGAUCAAAUCAAUCCAAUUUUUUGCAAAUCCUAGCUGAUACAUGGUAAGCUCCAAAAACCUCCAUUCCACUCUUACAUAGGCCUUGCUUAUGUCUAGCUUCAAUGCAACAAGCCCAUUUUUUUUUCUUUACUCAAUCGAAUUUUGUGGAGACAUUCAUACCCUACAAUAAUAUUAUCUGUGAUGAGCCUACUCGGUACGAACACACUUUCAUUUGGAGAUAUUACAGUAUGUAAGAUUUGCUUUAACCUAUUAGCUAUAGUUUUUGCUAUGAUUCUGUAAAUUACAUUACACAAGCUAAUAGGUCUAUAAUCCAUUACAUCUCUAGGCUUCUCAAUUUUUGGAAUAAGAGCAAUAUAAGUGUGAUUGAGGGGAGCUAGAUUACCUCUCUCAUUAAGGAUGUGUAGACAUGUUGCUACAACUCCCUCUCUAACGAUUUUCCAGUGCUUCUGAAGAAAUGCAGCAGGGACACCAUCUAGUCCUGGUACUUUGGUUGGGCUCAUUUGGAAAAGCGCUUCUUCAAUUUCUUCCUCUGUGAACGGUCUCAUCAGCUUCUCAUUCAUCUUAGCUGUGACUUUCUUCGGCAUUUCCUUCAAGGCUGCCUUCAUUUGCUGUUUUGGCAGGUUUGUUGUUGUGAAUAGGUCUGCAAAAUACUCACAAAACCUUCUCUCUAUCACCUCAGUUUCCUCUAACCAGUUGCCAUCUUCAUUCAGCACCCCCCAAAUUUUGUUCUUCCUCUUUCUUGCUGAGGCCUUAGCAUGAAAAAAACUGUGUUUUUAUCUCCCUCGAGCAGCCAAUCAGCUCUAGACCUUUGUUUCCAAUACACUUCCUCGUCAAGCAACAAAUUGUCGAUAUGUUUUUCAAGCCUCUUAAGUUUUUCCCCAUUUUUCAUAAUGUUCAAAGCUUUGUUUUGUGUUCUGCAAUUCCUUGAUGAGUUUCUUCAUUUUCUUUUCUCUUCCCCCAAACUCUUUUGAACUCCACAAAGUCAAAUCGGCCAUUGAUCUCUUCACAGAUUCUAUGAACAACUCUGUUACAUUUGCACUUUUCCAGUUACACUGCUCCAUCCACCUCCUCUUUACUAUUCCUUAUAAUUCUGUUUGUGAAAAAUAAUGGUGUAUGUCAAUUUAAGAGUAUUUUAAGAAACACAAGCCAAUCCAAGAUUAGGUAUACAAUCAGCAUCACCAUUAACCUCUCUAUAAGCAUGAGAAAUAUAAAAGUGCACUUAUUUCACCAACUAAAGACAAUUAAUCCUCUAAAAAGAGAGUUAUGAAAAGAUACAUGUUGUUUUGAUUAACAAACAUAAUGAAACUAUGUAGUCUUUCGAAUAAUGUACAAUUUGAUUUCGUUUCAUAGUAACUUUCUUCCUUGCAAUCAUACAAUUUCCAAAGAGUAUAUUGAAAAGAUUAUAAUGUCGUUAUUAUUUUUAUUUUUGAGAACAUAAUAAUAGGAAAUUACAAUAAGGAGGAACGUGACGCCUAAACUAAAGAAAAAAGUCCAAUUAGAGUUAAAUUAAGGUUGUGCUUGUUUAGAAGGAGAGGAUGGGGGAAAUGAAAAUGAUUUGAAUUCCUUUUUUAUUUUCAUUGUUUGGUUUGACAUAAUAUGUAAGAAUUUUAAUUUCUAUUAGAACUUAAUAUCCAUUAUAAUCUAGAAUUUAAAUUCAAUGCCAAGAAGUGAAGAAUUCGAAAUCCCUAUGUGUUGGAAAUCAAAGCUUCCAAAAAUACCCCUUCAACUUUUUAACUUAUUUAAUGUAAUCAACUAAUUAUUAUUUAUAAUUUUAUUUUAUCAAUUUAAUGUUAUAGACAAUUUUAUAUUAAUUAAAUUUGAGUAAUAAUUUAAAAACUUAAUAAAAUAAAUAUAUUUAAUUAAUUAAUCUGAAAAAUAUAGAAAUAUUAAUUUAAUAGUCGCUAGACUGUUAGACAACCGUCGUUGUCGCUACUGUCAUUGACAUGUACUACUCACUGCCACUGCCAUUUUACUCGCUAGCCAAUUAUCAACAUUAUUACAUCAUCGUUGAGAUAAAAAACCGGAUAUAUGUUGUUCAAAUCCAGUUAAAAAUGUUUAGAAACUUUUUAACCUCCAUAGAUCCUAAAAAAAAAAAAAUCAAAAUUUUCAGUUAAAUGAGUUGAUCCAUUAUAGAGAUUGUCAAUCUCUGAUCAUUUUCAUAUCAUUCACGAGCUUUUAUUUGAUGGUGUGGCAGCUACUGGUGGUGACUUCAUAGGCGAUAGCCAGCGGGUCUAUUUCUUUUUUGUUUUUGUUUUUAAAUGAAAUUCCAAAAUUAUAAUAUAUAUUGAUUAAGAAAUUAUUGAUAUUAUAUCAUGACUUAUUUAAAAAAUUAAAUUAAUUAUAAUUACUUAAAUUAAUAAUAAAAUUAAAUUAUGUUAAUAAAAUUAAAUAAAAUUUAAUUCCAAAUAAAAGUAUGUUAUUUAAAAUAUUAUUUAUUAUUUAUUUACGUAAAUAUAUUAAAUAAAUUUACUUUUUAAUUAUAUUUAUGAUAAAUAUUGAAAGUUUAACACUUAACGCUAAAAUUGUCUAAAUAAAAAAUUAGAAAUUUCCUUUCUUUAUAUAAUUCUGUAAUCAACCAAAUAUCAGAAAAGUGUUUUAUUCUCCUAUCUUCUCCUUUUGUCUCUUUUUCUCUAUUUUCCUCUCUUCUCAUUUUCACAUAUUUCUUCAAACCAACCUAAGAGUAAUUAUAUCCACCCUGAAAAAGGACACCGAACUGGCCACCAAAAAGGUUAAAUCAUAACUUUUUUUUUUCAUUUUUCUAAAAAAAGAAAAAGAAAAAAAAGACUGAAUUAAGUAAACAUAUUUACCUUCUUUGGGAUGAUGGGAUCCAUUCAGCACCCAAUUUAGCAGGAUUAGUAGAUCCCUCAGAAGGACCCACAAAUUCUUUAUUUUAAAUGUUGUGGAUUGUAUGGAUGGUCCCAAAAAGGGACACAUUAGAAACUGACAAAUGGCAAGUCGUGAUUAUUCUGGUGCACCACUUCAUCAUGCUAACAUUAUUGUUGUGCCCCACUGUAUCAUGCUAACAUGCUAAGGUACAAACGCAGUGCUAGCACUGAAUGUUAUGGAUUCGCAUGUCCUGCACCAUAAGCAAACGGCGACUGCCUUGUUUUUGUUGUAUCAGUUGCUUCAGCUGCAAAAGAAAUGGAUAUGUGCAUAGUCCAAUACAAGAAGGGUCACAUUGAUUUAUGUUGAAAAGAGUAAUGAACUAUGCACACGUAAUGCAUUAAUAUUAAGUAAUUUCCUGCGUUUGCAGACAAUUGACGCUGCAACUCAAGAACAGCACGCAGCACUGAAGCAAGAGGUCAGGAGGAUGAUAACCACUACUGCCAAUAAGCUUGCCCAUAAACUACACAUGAUUGAUUCAGUACAACGAUUAGGUGUCGCUUAUCAUUUUGAAAAAGAGAUUGAAGAUGAAUUGGGAAAGGCAUCUCAUUAUCUUGACAGGGAUGAUCUAUACGUUGUUUCUCUUCGUUUUCGACUUUUUAGACAGCAAGGAGUUAAGAUUCCAUGUGGUAUGUAAUAGUUUUUCAUUUUGUUAAUUAAACCAUUUAUGUUAAUUACAAGAUUAUUGUUAAUUAUCAAACUAAAUUUAAGCAUGUACACUAAUCGAGACUAGCUCGCCUUUAAUUCUUUUGAAUAUGGUCAUCAGAUGUGUUUGAGAAGUUCAAAGAUGAUGAAGGUAAAUUCAAGGAAUCAUUGAUCAACGAUAUACGAGGCAUGUUGAGUUUGUACGAGGCAGCAUACCUAGCAAUUCGGGGAAGACAUUUUAGAUGAAGCCAUUGUUUUCACUACCACUCACCUUAAGUCAGUAAUAUCUGUAUCUGAUCAUUCUCAUGUAAACUCUAAUCUUGCUGAACAAAUACGUCGUUCUCUGCAAAUUCCUCUCCGUAAAGCAGCAGCAAGGUUAGAGGCAAGGUAUUUUUUGGAUAUCUAUUCAAGAGAUGAUUUGCAUGAUGAAACUUUGCUCAAGUUUGCAAAGUUAGACUUUAAUAUAUUACAAGCAGCACACCAGAAGGAAGCAAGUAUCAUGACCAGGUAACUUCAGAUAUAUAUUCUUUCAACGUGGAAAAGCCUAUUAUUGGUGUUGUUUUGAAAUGGGCGAUUGUUACUUUCCCUCAAAAGAGAAAUCAUAUUUUACCAGUUGCCCCCUUGUAUAAUGAAAGACUCAAUGCAAAAUAUCUUAUAAUAGUUAAUUAAUUAUUUAUUAACACCCAAACCAAGAUCUUUAGUUUGCAGUAAAAUUUUUAUGUAUUCUAGAUUUGUCAACAGUGGUAGUGGUUGUAGUUUUUGUAUAUUAUGUGCUUGUUGCUAAUAACAAUAAUAAAAAAUGUUAUAGUGUUUGGAGGAUAAUGUGUAUAAUGAAAGAGUAGUGAUACAAUUAUAAUUUUUUUUUAAGAACGGAUGUGAUAUAAAUUCAUAGAUUCAAUGAAAAUACAAAACAAUAAAAAUAAAUCACGUAAAUUUCUCUCUCUCUCUCUCUCUCUCUCUCUUUUUUUUUUUUAAAGAAACAAAUUUUCCAAAUACAAUAUGGAAGAUUUCCAACUUCUCUUUAAAAUUUUUAGCUUUUGUCACUUAUCCCUAGAGUUUUCAUAAUUCCCUUGCUACCUCCUUAAAAGAUGAAACCAAAUUGUGUUCUUCUUGGCAUUUCUUAUAUACUACAGAAGUACCGAUUAUUAUAGUGACAACUUUAUAAUGUAGCAAAAUAUCUAUCUAAUUAGAUUUAAAAUUGAAUUUCAGGUGGUGGAACGAUUUAGGCUUCCCUAAAAAGGUGCCUUAUACAAGAGAUAUAGUAGUAGAGACAUGUAUUUGGAUGUUGCUAGGAGUGUCCUAUGAGUCCAAUUUGGCAUUUGGUAGAAUUUUUGCAUCCAAAGUGGUGUGCAUAAUAUCCAUAAUAGACGACACAUUUGAUGCUUACGGUACUUUUGAAGAGCUCACACUUUUUAAUGAAGCAGUCACAAGGUUAUAAAACCAUAUACAUCCCUAUAUAGCAGUUGUUAAGUUGCAUUAUCUGUAUUCUAUAGGUUACAAUAACCUAAAUAAUGGGGAUAUCAUGAGUGACUAUUAAGGUUGCUGCAUGUUAUAUAUGAUGUAACUUAGCAAGAUCCCAUGUCUAUGUAAUAAAAUAUUAUUAUCGUUUCAUUAUUUCAAGAAUUAUACAAUAUCAAAUAAGUACAAGAAGUAUUGUUCCCCAUCAUUUUACUACUAUAACUAAAUAAUAGUUUUAAUCAUAAUUUUUUGAAUAACCCUUGAUUUAUUGCGACCGUAAAAGUAGUGAAUUGACAAAAAUACCUUUAGAAAAUUUUGCCCAAAAAAACUCACAAUCUAUUCUAGAAGAAAAAAAAAUAAAUAUGGAAGUGUUGAUUCUGUAAAUAAGCUUUAAAUGUUUUUUUUAAAGAAUAAAUUGUGUUUUUUCUAAGAAAAAUAUCCAGGAGUAUUUUGUUAAUGCACCAUUUUUAUAGUUACGAUAAAUUUAGGGUUAUUCAUAAAGUCACGGUUUAAACCAUUAUUUUACAAUUAAAGGGCAUACCAAUAAUUUUUGUCUAUUAUUUGAUACCUCUAUUUGUGUAUUUUAUUGUAAAAGGAAAAAUUGAUAUUUUACCAAUUAACUAAUGGUUUUAAUGGAAAAGUAGUAAAAUGAUAGGAGAUAAUACUUCUUAUAGUUAUUUGAUAUUUUACAACUCUUGAAGUAGUGAAACAAUAAUAAUCCUAUAACAACGCCACGUAUCUUUAUGGUAUCUUUAUGGUAUCGUAUCUUUAUGGUAUUAUGGUAUAAAAACUCGUGUGUGUUUUUCCAUGAAUUUCUAAACUCUCAAUUCUCUCUCUGCAAAUAAAGUUCUAAGAAAGAAAAAGAAUAAAGGAUUAAAUUUGUUCAUUUUGAAAAACUUAAGGAAGUAUGCUCUGCACUUGCCUUUUGCAAGGAUCCUGUGCAUAAGAAAACUUUUGAUCAUUUCUUAUCUGGUUUGGUACCCUGUUUUAGACCAAAGAAAAGUCUGUUUUGGGUUGUAUAACCUGAGGUGAGGAAAAAUGUUUUAAAGGUUUUUUUAUUACAGAGGUAUAUCGGCUGGAAACCCGAGCUUGCGGACUACUGGUCCAAAGUACAGUCUUAACUGUUGUAGUUCUAGUAUAACAACGUCACGUAUAAGUGAAUCAGUGAAUCUUCUUACCAUCUUCUCAGCCCUUACCAACUCUAUAAACGCCCCAGUUCUUUUACCUGCAGUAUCCGUACUCUCAUAUCCACCCGAAGACCUCACCCUAAAGAAUAUAUCCAGUCUUCUCGCCUGGAUCAAUGUUCUCUCCAAGCAACCCUUGUUGAGCAAUAUGUUACACUUGAAAUACCCUCAGAGUUAAUUUCCAACUGGAAACGAGAAGGUUUUACCCAUCUCCAUCUUGGAGGCAUCAGAUUAAUCCUUACUCUUCAUGGGAGAAAAGGAUUACCAGUUACCGCUCGAAUUGCUAUGCUUGAUACCCGAUUCAAACAAUACCAAGAUGCUGUUAUCUGUACUGUCCUUACAACCCUUCAUGCAGGAAGUGUUUUACUCACUUUCUAUCCCAAUUUCAACAUUUCUCUCCAAGACCCAAAUUUUCCUACAACCUUGAAAGUCCAGGUUCAGAUUCAAGGUGCUGAACAAAUUUCUUCUGCAAAAAUUGCCACUUUACACCACCAACUGGUCUACAAGCUUCAAAAUCAUGCCCUAGAUCUACCCACUCCAGAACACCACUCUGACACCCUCAUGGUGUUAGCAGAAUCCAACCAGAUCCCGACAAUUAUCUAGAUGCCAAGACAAAUUCCACGUCAUGAGCUCAUAAAGCUUAUGCCUCUUGAAUGGAUCUCCAACUAUGAACAGUUCCAUAAUAAUACAGCUCCUAUUCAGACAUCUGAAAGUAUGUUUGAAAGACGACAAGAUGGAACAGUCCGAAUGACUUUUAAACCACCUCCCAGUGCUCUAUAAGAGCCUCCUCGUCUCUCAUUUACGUAUUCCUCAAUGAUUACAGCUGUUCAGACAGCUCAGGAAGAUCUGCCCAUUACAAGGUUUAAUUAUGAAGGUUACCCUGUUUAUUCAGCCAAGCAAAAUGGCCAUUUCCUAUGGGAUGUCCCUGGCUCAGGCAUGUGUGACCCAAAUUGUCCCUGCUGGGAUGAUUGGGAAGAAAACGAUGAUUAUGAAACCACAAGGAACAAGAAACCCAAAAAGAAAAAACCUCAUGUCCCAUGUCACCACUGUGACCCUAAACCACCAUCAGAUCCUCCACCUCCACCAGCUCCAUUACCUAUCUACCGAAAAGAACUCAAAUGGAUUGCCAAACAUUGCAAAUAUGAGAUUCCAUCACCACCCCCACACCCAACACCUAUCGUCUAACCACUGGCUUGUAUGAUGUUUUCCUCUACCUCUUCCGAUUACUCUUCUUCUUUUCCUCCUUUGGAACCCCACACAGAUUCUCAAUGAAAUGUUGUGUCCAAACCCUUUAUCCCUCCACCUAUUACCUCCACUGGCCACCUAGAGCCCCCUAAACCUUUUGAAUUAGUCCUUAACUGGCAAACUCAAAAUGCCAGGGCACAAAAUGAUACUUUGUUGCAUCUCAAUUUAAAAGUUGAGCACAUCAGUUUGCGAACUGAACAGACUGAGACAAAAGUUGAUUCCAUCACUGCACAGAUGCAGCAGAUCCACCAAAAUCUUCACUCCCGAAUUGGUCAACUCGAUUCAGAGUUACGAGCCAUGCUUGCCCAUAGAUACAAUGGUCCAGAAUUUGACCAAAAAGAAAGAGAAAUCAGGCGCUUAAAAGUUGAACUUGCUCAGAUUGAAUCUGAAAAACAGAGACCUAUCCUUUUUACCACAUCUCCUCCUAUCCCUUCCAUCGGUCCAACUUAUCAUCCUUUUGCCUCUAUGCUUUCUCCUAUUAAAUAGUAUGACCCUUCUAAGUUAUUUGGUAUGACUCAUACUCUUUUCAGAGACAAUCAUUUGCCACCACCACCUAAACCUAAACCCAAACCCAAACCUAGACCACAGCCUCGACCUACCCUUGUUCAUCCUUCAUCUCUGACCAUCCCUGGCCAACCAUCUCAUAGUUCUACACCGGCAUCACCUCCAGCUCUAUUAUCAGUCCCUUCCCAAUCCAAGGAUAAAGAACCCAUGAACCAAUUUACUGCUCACACAGUCACCCAUUCAUCUACUACAGACGAUCAAACUUAUGAUUCAAAUUAGCUGUUUCAGAUAGCCCUACCAAAACUGAUACAGAAUCUUCAGCAUCCACUAGUGACUCUGAAAAGUCCUAUGCUGAUAUUACCAAAAUCCUGAUGGCUCAACCUGAUCAACCUACCCAAGGCCAAACCUCUCAUACAGAACCAUAUGUUGAUAUUCCCUCUGAAGUUGAAGAAGAAAUGCCUGAAUCUUCUGCCACAAACCACCCUCCUCCAGCCCAGACCAAUCCAUCUAGCCAAAAAUUGUCAAAUGGCCCAUGGUUCACAUUUCAUGAUCUUCCAUCUCAUAAAUGGCGUAACCGACUCAAUGAGAUGUCUGCCUGGAUUGACCUCCAGAUGCUAAGAACAGGAGCAACAACUCAAUCAGUCCUUAGAGAAUUUGCUACUCGUUUGACGGGUGCUCUAAGAGAUUGGUUUGAUUCGUUAGGACAAUACCGCCAAUUACAGUUUGUUGACCUUCCAGAAGUUUCAAGUGCUCUUGCUGUACUUCAUGAUCAAUUCCUUGGCGACCCUUCUGCAGUCUUUGAAGCUGCCAGACGAGACUAUCUCAACAUGAAAUGCUGCUCCCUCAAUGCUAAGGAUCUUGACUUCCAUUACAAGCGAAUGUCCCUACUGUUCUAUAAGCUUAAUGGAUUCAAUGAACCGACAUUAAAGCAUGUCUUUCUGGCUUCCCUCCUCGAAGAACUCCAACCCGCCAUCCAGAGACAACUCACAGCAUCCAAUCUUUCCCUAGACAACAUCUCUCUUGGCAAAAUCUUCCAGCUUGCCAAAACUUGUCUUGACAAACUUUGCGAGCAAAAACAGUUUUUCAAAGAACUGUUGAAAGACAAAGAACCUUUCCGAAGUGCUUGCAAAAAGCCUUAUUUGCAGAUCAAAUGCCACAAGAAAAAGGAUUGCGAUUGCAGUUCAAAGAAAAAACGGCAUUUUCGGAAAUUCAAAAAUCCAGAAUUGUCAUCCAAACCUCGCAGAUCCCGAAAGCCCUACCGGUUCUUCAGAAAGAAAUCUUCCUCCUCCAAAGAAUUCAAACGAAAGCAAUCAAGCAGAUGUUUCAUCUGCAAGAGAAAAUGCCAUUAUGCCAAAGAUUGUCCCAACAAAAGAGAAAAAUCCAUCCGAUUAGUUGAGCAUCUUCAAGCAACUACAGACUACUCUCCUGCCAAAGAUGAGCUAGAAUUCUAUUUCUCUGAACAAGAUGAACCCAAUGAUGAAACAAUGUUCGCACUACAGAAUUCCUCUGACUCAAACAGUGACCAGUCUCAAGUGAUUUUCCACCAACAGUUACUCUCCCUUGAUACUACAGUUCCUAUCCCAUCCAUCAAACUCCAGAUCUUGCCCUCAAAAUUUCAAAGGCCCAUUCCAGCAAUUGGUCUUAUAGAUACUGGUGCCCAACGCAGCAUGUUAAACCCCCAUAUUCUUCCAUCAGAAUAUUGGACCCAGUUUGAAGAACAUUUCAAAGCUGUCAAUGGCAAACUCUUCACCACCUCUUUGAUUACUAAGAAACCCAUUGGCAUUCAAAUCUUCCCAAAUUGUGUCAUUUGGACCAAGGUUAUUGGUUUAACUCUUCCUAAUAAAGAUAUAUUGUUAGGAUUUGAUAUCCUUCACCAAAUCAAACACCUCCAAAUCAUUCCCACUGGAAUCCGAGUCAAGUCCAUGGUCAAACCAUUCAUAGACAUUCUGAAACUCUACAAUUUGUCUGAAACUCCCCAGUCUUACCAGGAUAUUUCAACCAAACUUUUGAGUUUCUGUCCAGAGUCCCAUUCUGAGUUCAUCCAUCCAAAUCCCUUGUGGAAAAAUCAGUAUUUCUUCAUUAAGUUACCCUUCAAACUAAAUGAAAACAUUAACCCAACUAAAGCUACUCAUCCAGGAAUGAGUCCUUCUGACUUACUCCUAGCCCAACAAGAAUGUUCACAAUUGUUAGCCCAAGGUUUAAUUGAGCCCACAAGUUCUCAAUGGGCUUGCCAAGCCUUUUAUGUUGCAAAGCAUUCUGAAAUUAUCCGAGAAAAGAAACGCCUAGUCAUUGACUACCAGCCAUUAAACAUGUUUUUACAAGAUGACAAAUUCCCUUUACUUCAUCGACAAAGCAUGUUCACUUUUCUCAAAAAUGCCCAGAACUUUUCAAAUUUUGAUUUAAAAUCUGGUUUUUGGCAACUAGGCAUUGAACCCUCCGAACGUUACAAAACCGCUUUUUGUAUUCCCAAUGCCCAUUUUCAAUGGACCGUCCUACCCUUUGGUCUCAAAACUGCCCCAUCUAUUUUUCAAAAAUCCAUGGUUCAACUCUUCCAGCCUAUCCUGCAUCAUGCAUUGAUUUACAUUGAUGAUAUCUUGCUUUUUUCAGGCUCACAUGAUGAACAUCGCCAGCUGUUAACUCAAUUCUAUGAUAUUAUCCAAAGUCAUGGAAUCAUGUUAUCGGCCAAGAAAAGCACCAUCACUACAGAUAAUAUUGAAUUCCUUGAUAUGAUCAUAAAAGAUGGACAUUAUCAGCCAGGAAAGCACAUUGCCCAAGAAUUGCUUCACUUUCCAGAUCAGCAACUUUCCAAAAGGCAAAUUCAACAGUUUCUUGGCAUUAUCAAUUACAUCCGUGAUUUCAUCCCACAUAUGGAUCAUUACACUCAUCAUCUUUCGUCUUUAUUGAAAAAGAAGCCCCCAGAGUGGAAUGCUGACCACACAAUUGUUGUCACUACCCUAAAGCAGAUUGCGCAAAAUCCACCUCCUUUAAAGUUGAUUACUGAUGGAAAACGCAUCCUCCAGACAGAUGCAAGUGAUGAAUCAUGGGGUGCCAUCCUCCUUGAAGAAAUCAACGGAAAAGAGAACUUUAUCGCUUACGCUAGUGGACAAUUUUCUGACACACAGAAGCACUACCAUAGCGUGUUCAAAGAAAUCUUAGCGGUAAAGAAUGGCAUCAAAAAGUUUGAGUAUCAUCUGAUUGGACACCAUUUUCUCAUCCAAAUGGACAGUUCAGCCUUCCCUAAUAUUCUCAAUUUUAAAGGUAAAAUUGUUCCUGAAAAUGUUACUCAGAUUAAAAGAUUAGUUUUCCAAAUAUGAUUUUUCAGUCAAGCAUAUAAAGGGGUCCCAGAACCUCAUCCCUGAUAUGCUCUCCAGACUCUCCAAACCAGAAAACCCUAUUACCCUAUUUUCCACCACCUACCAUUUUUCAAUUAUCUCCAUGGCUACCUCACUACCCCUAGAAGCUCUCACCAAGAAAACUUUUCCCUUCAACAAAAACUUCUCUUCUGUUUUUGCCAUCCAAGAAUUUGCUAGAAAAGCUCUUUUUCGCUUUUUCAUGAAAGCCUACCUUCGUAUGGAGAAACCUGGUUCGUCGGUACAGGAUCCCUUAUGCCUUGAUAACAAACAAUGGCAGGCAAUUUGACAACCAUAACUUUAGGGAUUUCUGCCAAAACCUCGGGAUAGAGCUGAAGUAUUGCUCGCCUACUCACCCUCAGUCUAAUGGACAAGUAGAAGCAGCCAACAAGAUAAUAAAGAGGCUCCUGAAAACCAGGCUUGGAGCAAAGAAGGGUACAUAGGUUGAUGAGCUACCAGGUGUAUUAUGGGCAUACAGGACAACCCACAAAACAGCAACCGGUGAAACUCCGUUCGCUUUGGCCUUCGGACAUGAAGCUGUUGUACUAGUCGAGAUAGGGACGACCACACAUUGGACCGAUCACUUCGAUGAGCAGGAAAACAACGACUAGAUGUGCUUGAAUCUGGACCUGCUGACCGAGAAGAGGGAGCAAGCAUCGAAGCGAUCAGCCGUUUACUAGCAAAGCGUUGCUCGAUAUUACAACCAGAAGGUGUGUAUACGACAGUUGAAGGUCGGCGAUUGAGUACUAAGGAAGGUGAACCAGAACACGAAAGACUCGACACAAGGAGUACUUGGACCAAACUAGGAGGGGCCAUACAGGGUCAAGCAGGCAGUUGGAUCCGGAGCCUACAAGCUUGUUCGCGCAGAUGGCCACGAGGUGAAAUGGCCCUGGAACGCAACGCACCUCAAGAAGUAUUUCCAGUAAGACCUGAUCAUGUCUUAAAGUUAUUUCCAUUUGUUCUCAUUAUUAUGCAUUCUUAUGUAAGUUGAAUUCAGCAAUUAAUGAAACGUCGAGGAAUUUCAGUCACUUGUAACGGUGUAAAAAUCUCUAAGGCAUGCAAAUGUUAAGUCUGAAAGCCUGUUUUAUAGCGAGACCAAAAGCCAAGCGUGCCAGGAUCUGCUCGACCAAGCGAAGACGAGCAGACUCCCGAGCGUUGUAAAAUUUCCAAGGCAUGCAAAGGCUAAGUCUUAAAGCCUGUUUUAUGGCAAGACCAAAAGCCAAGCGUGUCAGGAUCUGCUCGACCAAGCGAAGGCGAGCAGACUCCCAAGCGUUAUAAAAUUUCUAAGGCAUACAAAGGCUAAGUCUUAAAGCUUGUUUUAUGGCGAGAACAAAAGCCAAGCGUGCUAGGAUCUGCUCGACCAAGCGAAGACGAGCAGACUCCCAAGCGUUGUAAAAUUUCUAAGGCAUGCAAAUGCUAAGUCUCAAAGCCUGUUUUAUGGCGAGAACCCGCGUAAGCCAAAACCGUUGAGUUUUUACUGUCGGUUCACUAUGUUACCCAACACCAGAAACUAGGGGACCGGUGUUUGGGGGAUAUACCUCGACAAGACCGGCCAUGAUGAGCAGAUUUCUGGUAGCAGGAUUUCGCGAACAGGUAUAUUCCGCAUAACUCUGGUAGCAGGGGAACACGAGCAGGAAUAUUCCUGCUCGUUCACGAAUGUACCAUCCACGGGGCCAAAAUGAGAGCCGGCCUCCUACCAGGAGCAUAAAACCAUUCCUGCUAGAGGUCGAGGUGAAGAGACCCAAUCAAGGACGGUUGGCAAGACGUACGUGCACUCCUACCUGAGAAUCAAGGCACGAAGUUCAUCCAGCCACGACUACAAUAACGAAGCGUCCACUUCCGAGAGUUGGGGGAGGUAAUGGACGUGGGUUGUGGAAGGCCGGGAUUCAGAGAGAACCUAUAAAAAUGUAGCCAAUGAAAGUAAAAGGGUUAGACUUUUUGAUAUUAAAACUAAGACAAAAAAGAGCUCUUGAUUGAGAGAUUGAAAACGAGCCAUAAGAUUAGCGGCCGAUUUUCCCAGGAAAGCGAAACCUACGUUUCUGACUUGAGCGUCGGAGGGUUUACGCCUGGAAAACACCCGGCGUGCUCUGACUUGUUUCUGUGUACGCAGGAAUCUGUGGAGAAGAGGUCUUGCAAGGAGGGAUCCUGGUCGUGGUAGAACUAGUUGAGGAGAGAUCCUGGUCGCGGACGAGUAGAAAACCAGAAUCUCGCAUCAACAAUUUCAAUGGUGGCUUGACUUUCAGAGAUGAUUUAAGUACUUGCAUCAUUGCUAAAAUUUUGAAUUUUCUUGAGAUUCUGAUUUGUUUUAUUACUAAAAUUUGAUCAUGGAAGUGGUAGUUUCAAUUUUGGUCUCAGCUGUAGUAGAAGCAGGCCAUGUUCUCUGUGGCCCUUUUUGCUAAAAAAUCAACAACACCGUUAAGAUUCAAUCAAAUCUCCAAGCUUUAGAAAAGGAAUUGAAGGUUCUAAUUGGUCUUAGAGAUGACAUGAUAUGUCAACUCGCAUUAGCUGAGAAAGAUGGAAAGGUACCAACAACUCAAGUGAAAGCAUGGGUAAGAUCGGUUGAUGAAUUUAUAUUUGAAGUAGAUUUAAUGCAAGAAAGUGUGAGAGCCAAAGAGAAGAAACACAGUGGUUGUCCGCAGUAUAGACAUGGCAGCAAAGUGGCAAGAAUGCUCAAGGAGGUGCAAGGACUUAAAAGUGAAGGUAUUUUUCCCGCAAGCUUAGUGAUCGCCAACCUCGAAGCAAAAUCUGUUGAGCAUAUCCGUGGACCUUCAAUAGAGCAUCAAAUUGAUGUGUCUAUUAUCAAGUAAUAGACAUAUACCCGAGAAUAGUCUUCCUCUAUUUCCAAUUUGAUAAAUAUGUGUCUAUUAUCAAGUAAGAAAUUCUAAGAAUUUCCUUCCAGCCCAAAAAAAUAAAAAAUUUCCGAAUAACAUUCAUGGGAGGACGACCAAACGAGAACUUACCGAUAAAAGCCAAUUUAAAAGGCUCAGCCAUCUCUCGAAUUUCCGCUACAGAGAAAUGGAUAGCUGGUUCACCUCUGUGCAAUUGAACCAGUUUCACAGGAAUUAAUGAAAUAGCAGAACCAAUCACAGCAUCUAAAAAAGACUUUUGUGGUCUUGAAGUGGCAUUAGGGUUGAGGACGAUGACCGAGUUAAGACUAGAAGUAUAUGAAGGCUUGGGUUUGAUGUUGGUGCUACGGUUUGGGGGAGUUGGGUUGGUGGAAUGGGUUUUGGUAGCCACACAAGUUAGGUCAUUAUGAGUGGUGAGAUGUCAAUGUGGGUAAUGUUGUGUCUGAGAGGUUCGAGGGUGGUAAUAGUUGUCAUGCUACAGCAUCACUGACGUCAAGAAUGGCAUUAGCAAUGUGCAGGGUAUCAUGCGACAUAAGUUUAUUGUUUUGAUGUGGGUGCGUGAUGCAGCGGAAGCUUAAAGUUCAAAAUAUUCCGUUGAUUCUAGAAAAUGUCGGAAUAAAAGAACAACUAAACUCACGUUGAUUCAAAAGAAUGCCAUGAAUUUAGGGAUUAAGACUCGUUAAUUCCGCAGAAUAUCGAGAAUUAACUGAACUCAAAUACUCACAAAGAGAUUUGAAAAUUGAAAAUAUUAUUGAAAUCAAACAUCUGCUUGUAAAAGUUACAAAAGACACUUAUUUAUACUAACUAAGAUUUAUCCUAAUAUAAUUAGAAAACCUAUUUUAAUAAGACUUAUAUCUAAAUUAGGAAUAUUACCCAAAUAAGCAAUGCUUAAACAAUAAGACCCUAAAUAGGAAACCAAAUUAAACUAGAAUACAAAUUAAUUAAAAUAUUUCUAAAUAUUAUACAUUUAAAUCUAAUUAGGAUUUCUUCAAUUUCUUGCUUUCCAUUAUUCCCGCCAGGCUGGAGAAAAUUCGUUCUCGAAUUUUGUAUGUUGUAGUCUUCAAGAACAUCUUCAUGUUCAUAAGCAUUAAUUUUUAAAACAGAGCUUCGACAUAAACAACGAACUUUAAAUUUUCCAACUUUUGUAAUAACGUCCAUCCAAUCACUCCAAUGGUGUAAAAUAAAUUCUUCUAUCAACAACUUCUCUAAUAAUGUCUUCUCGUAUUGUUCGUGUCGAACUUCAACAUAGUUGAGGAAAAACGAUUUCUUCUCAUAAUCCACUAACUCUUGAAAAAUAUCACUACUCUUUUUGUCUUCUUUUGCCAAAUCAAGAGAACAAUAAGAGAUUGUAUCAACAACUAUCUCUCUUUCCUCCACAAGAUCAAAAGAUGGAUGAACAAUUACCUCUUCUCGUCCCACAAUAUCAAGAUACUCAUCAAAUUUCGACAAUUGAUCCAAAUCAAUGUCUUUGUGUUGAGGAUUUGUUGUAGACACGAAUGACCAAUUAAUAUUCUCCUUGGAAGGAAUAAUAUUGUCGAGAGAAACAAAGUUAUCAUUUUCCUCAUUAUCCUCGUAACAAACAUCAUCAUGAACAACUUCAUCAAAUCCAUAUGCCUGCUUUAUGUGUAAAGAUUUUCUAUCUUGAAGUUUCUCUAAAUCUUUAGAAAUCGAACGCAAAAUCCUCAACAUCUUAACUAAAACAUCUCUCAAGAUGAAAUCUUCACGUCGAUGUUGUGAUUUCAUGAUAUAAUUUUUUUUCUUUUUUUAUUUUCUCUCUACUUUCUCCUUUUUUUUUCUGGUGGUUGUUUGGGUUUUUUUUGUGUGCUAAGAUCAGAAAAAAGGCAAUAAUGGUAUAAAUGAAAGAAUUGGGUCAAAAUUAUGAAUAAGCAAAAGUUUUAGAUUUCCGGUGACGGUGGUCGGAAAUUGAGUAAGGAUGGGUGGAUCUAAAAGAUUUUGGGUUGGUGAGUAUGAUGGUGGUGGUGGUUUGUCCAAAAAGUUGGUGUUUUGGCCGGAAUUUGGAGAUAAAGGCGGCGAUUUUGUUGUUGGCUUGAUUUCCGGUGAUCAGUGCGUCGAUCGAUGGUGUUAACCGACUAGGAAGGUUGAGCUCGAGGAGAGGAGUUGAUUGGUGGUGGUUGUGCUGGCCAAAACGAGGCAGAAAUUGGUGAAUGACGGCACGGUUGGCGCGGUUGUUUUGGUUGUUUUUCUGACGAUCUGUGGCUAAUCGACGGUGUCCGAUGCUUGGGGUUUGAUGGUCGGCUUGCUUUGUCUCCGAUGAUGGUGGCUGAUCGUCUUAACGGCCAAGGAAAACCAACGACGGCAGGCGUGGAAAGGUGGCUGACGUGUCUGUCGUUUCUGCUGACUCUGAUACCAAACUGAUGCAACGGAAGCUUAAAGUUCAAAAUAUUUCGUUGAUUCUAGAGAAUGUCGGAAUAAAAGAACAAUUAAACUCACGUUGAUUCAAAAGAAUGCCGUGAAGUUAGAGAUUAAGACUCAUUGAUUCCACAGAAUACCAAGAAUUAACUGAACUCAAAUACUCACAAAAAGAUUUGAAAAUUAAAAAUAUUAUUGAAAUCAAACAUCUGCUUGUAAAAGCUACAAAAGACACUUAUUUAUACUAACUAAAAUUUAUCCUAAUAUAAUUAAAAAAUUUAUUUUAAUAAAAAUUUUACCUAAAUUAUAAAUAUUACCCAAAUAAACAAUGCCUAAAUAAUAAAACCCUAAAUAAAAAAUUAAAUUAAAUUAAAAUAUAAAUUAAUUAAAAUAUUCUUAAAUAUUAUACAUUUAAAUCUAAUUAGGAUUUCUUCAAUUUCUUGCUGAUCAGUGCGGUUGUGUUGGGUGUAGUCGAUCAGGAGGUUGAACGCCGUCAGCCACUGGUGGAUCAUCACCCCCGGUGACUACUAAAGCCAUGGGUGGUUUGUAGUGCUCUUGGGGCCUCAAGGUGCAAAAUUAUGAAUUUGCCCUUAUCGGUCAAAGGCGGCCGGUAGUCAAGCUCAAUGGCCGGCAAGCUCACGUUAGAUCCUUCAGGCCACGCUGAUUCCAAUGAUGAUGGCGGUGAGCUUUCUUGCGCGGUUGUGGCCUCUGAUCGAGCUCCUGAACCCGUGAGUCUCCAACAGUUGGUCGGCAACGAGAACGGCCAAUUUUGUACGUAAGGUUGACCGAAAAAUGAAGAGAGAAUCUUGAAGAACCAAACCCAGAUGGUAGCGUGGCCGGAAACUAACGAAAUCAGGCUUAAAUGAAGCAGCGUUUGCCGUGGUUUCGUGAGCUCGAUCAACGGUCCUCUGGUUGUUUUACAGCGGCGUUUACUCCCCGGAAACGACCGGCAUAGUUCCAGCUUCCGAUCGGUACCUCCCUUGGCCGAUGAGGUGGUCGGAGAAGGGGGUCUGUCUGGGUCAGGUCGUUGUUGUCCGGGUUCGGUUUAAUCUAAUAAGUUUUCUAUAAAUGGAAAGCAGAGCAUACCGAUAGUAUGCAACUCACAGCAGUUGAUUCGCUCAAUAUACUUGCAGACGCAGCAGAGUUAGUUAGUUUGUUUGUUUAAAGAAUAUUUCAAGCUCAGCUCACGUGUGCAGUAUGAAUUAACAAAGAGCAAUUGUUUCUAUAUAAAUAUGUAAUCUGCAUUCAUUUCUAAGAAUUAAUGAGAACAUUCCACAAGUUUCCAUUUUGUUUCUUCUCUUAAUUUUCUCACAUUUCCCUUUUGCCAAACACUAUUGAUCAAGUUUAUUUCAUAACAAAUCUAAUAGGCUUGGUACCUAAAGAAGCAGCCACUGCUCGGAUGAUUUUAGUUUGUUGAAAAGAAUCUGUAAAGCAAAUUUAUACCUUCACAUGCUCCCUACUUCACGAAUGAGUACGACGGCGUUGAAACGUCUAAUAAAUGUUAUUGUUCAUAAAUAACAGGAAACUAAGGCAACCUUGGCUGGUUGCGGUGACAGAUUAUACCACGAAGUCAUCUCCAACAAUACCUAGCUUCUCAUCUAGGGGACCUAAAAAGAUUGACGCAGUUAUCCUCAAGGUUGACUGGAUGCAUUAGUUAAAUCACCAGUAUAUGAUAUUCAAAAUAUAUUAAUCAUUUUCAUAUAACUUUCAUAUUCAUUUCAGUCUAAUGUCACUGCACCUAGAGUGGAUAUCCCGAAUAACAAGAUAAUAAAUUUGAACUUAACAAAUUAAUCAUGGAGCCUCCUUUGAAUGCGGUGGCCGGCACCUCCGUGGCAUAUGUCGUCAUGUAAAGUUAUACAUUUACUCUGUUCAUAUUUGUAACAAAAAUAUGUUAUAUCUGGAGGAGAAAUUGAAGUCUUAGCUAUGCGGGAACCGAGGGCACCGCGAGGCAUAAGUGGCCAUAAUGGGGCAUGAACAAGCCUGUGACAUGUGUCAUAUUUACUGGAACAAUCUCUUUAUCUCUUUUUUCCAUUCCAAAAAGGACAAAAAGAAAAAAGAAAAAUAUAUCUUCUACGCUUAUUCUGGUAAUUUCUUUUUCUUUUUCAAUUUAAAUUCUUUGCACGUCAAAAUCCAAGGCGUUGUCAACACUCACCAUCCGAAGAAAAUGGCAUUGCCUACUGCCAUGUUCCCGUCUCCAUGAUAAAAUUCCUAAGAUGUCGGCACGCUAAUUUCAACCAUCCACGUGUCGAACAAUUACAAGGAAGGGAUUAAAGAAGCAUUUUCUUUUUACGCGGAUAUUUAUUUAAAGCAACACGGAAUCCAAGCCCGACACUUGCUAUUAUUGCUAAGUAGAGUAAAUAGGGGUUUUGUCGUAAAUAGAUGCUAAAGUAGGUCCCGUUAUAAUGUGUUCCUUUUUGGGACCAUCCAUACAAUCCACAACAUUUAAAAUAAAGAAUUUGUGGGUCUUUUUGAGGGAUCUACUAAUCCUGGUAAAUUGGGUGUUAAAUGGAUCCCAUCAUCCCAAAGAAAGUAAAUAUAUUUAUUUAAUUCAGUCUUUUUUUUUUUGAAGAAAUGAAAAAAAAAAAAGUUAUGAUUUAACCUUUUUGGAGGCCAGUUCGGUGUCCCCUUUCAGGGUGUAUAUAACCACUCUUAGGUUGGAUUGCAGAAAUGUGAGAAAAUGAGAGGAGAGAAAAGUAGAGGAAAAGAAAGAAAAGGAGAAGAUAAGAGAGUAAAAUAUUUUUCUAAUAUUUGGUUGAUUACAAAAUUAUACAAAGAAAGGAAAUUUCUAAUUUUUUAUUUAGACAAUUUUAGCCUUAAGUGUUAAACUUUCAAUAUUUAUCAUAAAUAUAAUUCAAAAAAUUAAAAAGUAAAUUUAUUUAAUAUAUUUACAUAAAUAAAUAAUAAAAAAUAUUUUAAAUAACAUACUUUUAUUUAGAAUUAAAUUAAAUUUAAAAAAAUUUAUUAACGUAAUUUUAUUUUUUUAUUAAUCUAAGUAAUUGUAAUUAAUUUAAUUUGUUUCUAAAUAAAUCAUAAUAUAAUAUAAAUAAUUUCUUAAUCAAUAUAUAUUAUAAUUUUGGAAUUUCAUUUAAAAACAAAAACAAAAAAAGAAACAAAUCCGCUGGCUACCGUCUACGAAGUCACCACCAGCAGAUACCACACCAUCAAAUGAAAGCUCGUGAAUGAUAUGAAAAUGAUCAGAGAUUGACAAUCUCAAUAAUGGAUCAACUCAUUUAACUGAAAAUUUUGAUUCUUUUUUCGGGAUUUGUGGAGGUUAAAAUGUUUCUAAACAUUUUUAACCAGGGGUCCGCUUAUAAUACAGUGGUUGUAUCUCAUACAGCCGUUUUUUAUUAUUUUAUUAAUACAACCAAUAACCGGCCACCGCUACUCUCAUUUUAAUUGCUUAAAAGAGGCAAAUAUUAAAUGGUAACUAUCAUAUCGCUCCCUCAUGUUAGGUAAAUAUUACGAUAAUCAAUCUAAAAUUAGAAAACUAUCAAAGACCCCCUCAACUUAAAAAAAGAAAAUACUACUUUUUCUUUUAAUUCAUGAAAAAAUAGUUAAUAUAUUUAACUUAUGUACUAAUAAAAAUAUAAUUAAGUACAAUUAAUAGAUUAAUAUAUUUAAACAAAAAUAAUUAUUUUAUUUUAUUAAUAUUACGUUAUAAAUUUAAUGAUAUUUUACUUUAAAAUGUAACUUAAGUACUAAUAAGAAUAAUAUUUUAAUAUAAAAAAUUACAAUAAACUAUAUAUUAAUUAAAAAAUAAAUUAUAUAUCAAUUAAACUAUUUUUAUAUUACUUUAUAAAUGUAAUGAUGUUUUGCCUAAAAAACUAUCAAAACAAUUUUAUCAACUUUUAAUCACAUUAAAAUCCAAGUAUCUAAACAUAUAAUAAAAACAAUUCAUUCCUAAAUAUUUGGAAGAAAUCAAUCUCAAUAUCCCACAAACCACAAUACACAUAUAAGGACUUAAAUCCCUACCUACGAAAAUGAUUGUAAUGUUUAUCCAACUAUCGAAUAAUUAUUAUACCAAACAUCAUACUCACCCCUCAAAUGUUGUUGUUGUUGUUAUUAUUAGUGGCUAAUAUAUGUUCUUUGUAUACCCUCUAAAAAAAAAUCAUAUAUUAGACAAAUAUAAAGCAUCUAAUAUUUCAUAUUUUUAAAUAAAACUCACAAACAAUCUCUUAUGCAAAUUGAUUCAUACGAAAUUAUGUCAAAUUAAUUACUUUAUUUAAUUUUUUUUGGUAUAGUAAUUUUUUUUUUGCUAAACAUUAAUCAAAUUUAUAAUGGUACAUAAUAUGGAUAAUUACAAAUUGAAUGCAACUAAUAUUGAAUAAUGUUAUAUUAAAUUAUUUUUACAGUUAUAUACUUUAAGCACGACAAUUACAUUUCUAAAUUAAAUCAAAUUAUUUGAGUAACACUACACUCACUUGAUGGUUCAUGAUUUGUAUACUGAAUAGUGUGCAAUGAUCACAAAAUUAGUUCAAUCUUACAUUUAUAUCUAUAUUUUUUAAAAUUAAGUUAAUUUAUAUAACAACUAAAAAUAUAAAAUUAUGUAAAAAUAUUAACAAGCUUAAAUUUUAUAUCUAUAUUUUUUAAAUUAUAUUAUAUUAUAUUUUUGGUGAAACAAUAAGUACUUAGGUUUCAUUUAGGUGGGUAAAACUACCGCCAAGAUAAAAAGCAAUUUUGUUUUAAUACCGCGUACAUUUACAAUUUUUUAAUUUUUUCCCCAAAUUUUGAUUCAAAAUAUAAAUAACUCUCAUUCUUCCAUUGUUAGAAACCCUAGUCGAGAAAUUUUUUUUUUAUAUUUUGAAUAUUGUUGUUAAAAAAUCAUCAAAAAAAUAUGUUGUUAAAAUUAGAAUAUAGUUUUGUGUUAUUUUAUAUUUAAGUUUCAAUUUUUUUUGUUCAAAACAAUAGAUAUCUGAUCAUGCCUAAGAAUUUGGAUCAUACCUUUGAAAUUUGAAUAUUUUUGUUAUUUUUUUGCAGCCUUUUUUUCUAAUUUCAUUUGGUUUUUGUAUUUUUUUUAUGCAGAGACCCAUGAAAUCUAAAUCUCAAAUUAUUAGCAUUUGAUUUAGCUUUUGGAAGCUGUGAAUUGAUUUAAUUUUGUAAUAGUUUUAUUGAUAUUAAUAGUUUUUAAAGAGUUAUUUUCUCACAAGUUUGUAAAAAAAAUUCUGAACAAAAGUGGUUUUAGGCUCAACUCUUUUUGCAAUUUUAACUUUUCAAUAAGCCUCACAUUAGGUUACUAUUGUAAGUAACUGCUUAAGUGAUCGAAGUUCUCAUUCUUGUAAUGAAACUCUUGAUUUGAGUAAAGUUUAAGUGCAUCGGAUAAAUUAGUAGGACGUUAUAAUUUUAUUUGCAAAUAAAUGUCAAUAAAUUUAUGAGUAAAAAAGACCAUUUGAAAAAGAUAAAUUAAUUAAACAUGCAAAAUCAUAUUACUAUAAUGUUAGAUUUUCCUCGUACCAUAUUGUUGGGCAUAACAAAUUUCUAAAAAUUAUAUUGAAGAACUUAUUUUAUAAAUAGAAAAUUAUAUACAUAUUUAAAAAUGAAAAGGAAGAAUACUCAUUGUAAGAAAAAAUUUUGUUAAAAAAUCUCAUGAUUGUAGUAAUAAUAAUUGUAGUAAUAGUUUAAAAAAACAAAUAAUAAUAAUAGUGGUAAUAAUACAAGUAUAAUAUAAUAAUAUUUAUAAUUAAUAACAUAAAUAUUUUGUUGAAGUAGUUGGAAAUUACUAAAACUAAUUUGAAAAGAAAAUAGAGUGGUAAAAAUUUAAUUCGAAUUCAAAAAAAUCUUAAUUCUUGAUUUAUUUUAGUUUAAAGAUAAAUAAAUAUGGUUAAUUGAAUGAUAAAAUGGGCAUAACAUUUACAAAAAUCAAAAUUUAAGUAUAAAUAAAUUCAAGUUCAAGAAAUCUUAUCAAUUCAAUUGAUCCCCCCAAAAAGAGAAAAAAGAUAAUUCAACACAAAUAAAUUAAGAAAAUUUCAACUUUUGUAAGUUUAAACUUUUUUUAUAAUUUAUGCUGUCAAAACUUUUAAAUUAAUUUUUUUUUAAAAUACAGCAAUUGCACGCACCUUUAUAUAUACUUUUAAUCUAAUGUCAAAUUUUUGAAAAAUUAAAGAAAUUAUUUAAAGAGUAAAGAGAAAGCUAAAAAUGAAUGCAUUAAUUUACUUGAUAACUAAAAACAAUUAAUUAAAAUGAUAAAAUGAGAAUAAAUAUGUAGAAAGAUUACUCGCUCAAGUAUGUAUAUAUAUAUAUAGACACACACACACACACACACACACACACACAAUCAAAUUCAAGUGAAGAAAAUAGAAAAAAAAUAGACUUAGAUUAUAGACAAAAUAUUAGAAAAGAUUAAGGGUUGUAAUAAAGAUUUUUUAGUACUAUAUAGUAAGUUGAUAUUUACUAAAAUAGUAAGGGGUUAAACAUAAUUCACCUUAUUAAUAUUAUUGUUAUUGGUAAUACGAGUACAUUGACUAUUUAACCCAAUAAUUGGAAUAUUGUCAAGUUAAUGGGAAGGUUCAAACCAAAAUUAGUAGAAUAAUAGUUGAAACAAAUAGACCCAUAAGGGAGAAAGUAUAACCAAAAUUAGAGACUUACCCAACCAAAAAUAAAAUUAUGAAAAAUAAAUUUGGUACCUAACCGGAAUAAUUGGAGUCUUACCAAAUUAAUGGAAAUAUUCAACACAAAAUUAGAGUAACAAUUAGUUGAAACACAUGAACCAAUAAGAGAGAAAGUGCAACGGAAAUUAGGAACUCAUCAAACGGAAAAUGAAAGUUACUUGGAACAUAACCCAAAAUUUUGGUAUUUAACAAAUUUAGUAGGAAUAUCAAACGUAAAAUCGAUGGAAUAAUAAGUUGAAACAUAUGAACCUGUAAAUGAAAAAACUUAACCAAAAUUAGGAACUAAUCUAACCAAAAAAAAUAAUUUGGGUAUUUAACCCAAACAACAGGAAUCUUACCAAGUUAAUUAGAAUAUUAAACGCAAAAUCAGUUAAAUAAUAGUUGAAAUAUAUGUACCCAUAAGGGAGAAAGUAUAACCAAAAUUAGGGACUUAUCUAACCAAAAAUAAAAUUAUGAAAAAUAAAUUUGGUAACUAACCGAAAUAAUUGGAAUCUUACCAAAUUAAUGGGAAUAUUCAACACAAAAUUAGAGUAACAAUUAGUUGAAACACUUGAACCAAUAAGAGAGAAAGUGCAACGAAAAAUAGGAACUCAUCCAACGGAAAAUUAAGGUUACUUGUAACAUAACCCAAAAUUUUGGCAUUUAACGAAUUUAGUAGGAAUAUCAAACGUAAAAUCGGUGGAGUAAUAAAUUGAAACAUAUGAACCUAUAAAUGAAAAAACUUAAUCAAAAUCAGGAACUAAUCUAACCAAAAAUAAUAAUUUGGGCAUUUAACCCAAACAACCGGAAUCUUAUUAAGUUAAUUGGAAUAUUAAACGCAAAAUCAGUGAAAUAAUAGUUGAAAUAUAUAGACCCAUAAGGGAGAAAGUAUAACCAAAAUUAGGAACUUACCUAACCAAAAAUAAAAUUAUGAAAAAUAAAUUUGGUAACUAACCGAAAUAAUUGGAAUCUUACCAAAUUAAUGGGAAUAUUCAACACAAAAUUAGAGUAACAAUUAGUUGAAACACAUGAACCAAUAAGAGAGAAAGUGCAAUGAAAAAUAAGAACUCAUCCAAUGAAAAAUUAAAGUUACUUGGAACAUAACCCAAAAAUUUUGGCAUUUAACGAAUUUAGUAGGAAUAUCAAACGUAAAAUCGGUGGAGUAAUAAAUUGAAACAUAUGAACCUAUAAAUGAAAAAACUUAAUCAAAAUCAGGAACUAAUCUAACCAAAAAUAAUAAUUUGGGUAUUUAACCCAAACAACCAGAAUCUUACUAAGUUAAUUGGAAUAUUAAACGCAAAAUCAGUGAAAUAAUAGUUGAAAUAUAUAGACCCAUAAGGGAGAAAGUAUAACCAAAAUUAGGAACUUACCUAACCAAAAAUAAAAUUAUGAAAAAUAAAUCUGGUACCUAACCGGAAUAAUUGGAAUCUUACAAAAUUAAUGGGAAUAUUUAACACAAAAUUAGAGUAACAAUUAGUUGAAACACAUGAACCAAUAAGAGAGAAAGUGCAAUGAAAAUUAGGAAUUCAUCCAACGGAAAAUGAAAGUUACUUGGAACAUAACCCAAAAUUUUGGCAUUUAACGAAUUUAGUAGGAAUAUCAAAUGUAAAAUCGGUGGAAUAAUAAAUUGAAAUAUAUGAACCUAUAAAUGAAAAAAAUUAACCAAAAUCAGGAACUAAUCUAACCAAAAAUAAUAAUUUGGGUAUUUAACCCAAACAAUCGGAAUCUUACCAAGUUAGUUGGAAUAUUAAACGCAAAACCAGUGGAAUAAUAGUUGAAACAUAUAAACCAAAAGGGGAGAAAGAAUAACCAAAUUUAGAAACUUUUUUAACGAGAAACAAAUCUACUUGGAAUUUAACCCAAAAUAUUGGUAUCUAACGAAUUUAAUAGGAAUAUUAAUCACAAAACUAGUGAAUUGGAAAGUAGAAACAAAUGAACCUAUUCGUGAGAAAGUUUAACCAAAAUUAGAGACAUGUGAAAUUAACUUGAAACAUCAACCUAAUAUAUUGUUAUUUAACCAAAAGUAUUGCGACAUGAUUAUUUUACCCUUUUUUUUUAACUUUCAUUUAGAUUAAAAAUAUUUUUCUCACUCAAAUAUUUUUUAAGUUAAAUGUUUAUAAAUUUCCUUAAUUUUUUUCAUUUUAUUUUAUUUUUUCUGCAUUAAAAAUGAUUUUUUUUAAAUUAUUGAAAGAACAACCGGUAAAAUACCGGUUGUUCAAGUGGAAAAAGUAGGCUGUAUGUCAUACAGCACUGUACUAUAUGAAGACUCUUUAACCAGAUUUGAACAACAUAUAUCUGGUUUUUGAUCUCAACGAUAAUGUAGUAAUGUUGAUAAUUAGCUAGCGAGUCGAAUGGCAGUGGCAGUGAGAUAGUACACGUCAAUGACAACAGCGAUGAUGGCGGUGGUCUAACGAUCCGAUGACUAUUAAAUUAAUAUUUCUAUAUUCUUAGAUUAAUUAAUUAAAUAAACUUAUUUUUAAAAUAUUACUCAAAUUUAAUUAAUAUAAAAUUAUCUCUAACAUUAAAUUGAUAAAAUAAAAUUAUAAAUAAUAAUUAUUUAAUUACAUUAAAUAAGUUAAAAAGUUGAAGGGGUAUUUUUGGAAGCUUUGAUUUCCAACACAUGGGGAUUUCAAAUUCUUCACUUCUUAGCAUAGAAUUCAAAUUCUAGAUUAUAAUGGAUAUUAAGUUCUAAUAGAAAUUAAAAUUCUUACAUAUUAUGUCAAACCAAACAACAGAAAUAAAAAAAAGAAUUCAAAUCAUUUUCCUCUCCUCCAUCCUCUCCUUCUAAACAAGCACAACCUUAAUUUAAUUCUGAUUGGACUUUUUUCUUUAAUUUAGACAUCAUGUUCCUCCUUAAAGCAUCUCAAAAAGCCUCUACAACUUUUACUCUUCAAAUAUUUAUUUGCUUACCUAUGUGACAAAUAGAAGGGUGAAAAAAUAUAAUAUUCUCCAAAACAUUAAUAUUAUUUUAAUUAAAUAAUUAUUUUUUUAAAGGAAAAGUCAAUAACAAUUAAAGCACUACUCUCUCUUUUUCCAAUGAAAAGUAAUAAAAUAUAAUAACAGAGCCCCUAUUGAAUAAAAAAUAUAUAUAAAUUGAAGAGGGAGAAAUCAACUCUCCAAAUUUGAAGAGAGAGAAUCAUUUUUUAUUUGAAAAAUCUUAAUUGGGGUGUCUUUUGGAGUCUUAAGUAUUGAUGUCGGUCUUCAAAUAAGUAAUAAAAUCUUAUUUGAAAAGUCUUUUGGUGAUGCUCUUAUUAUAAUUUCCUUUUAUUAUCUUCUCAAAAAUAAAAAUAAUAACGACAUUAUAAUCUUUUCAAUAUACUCUUUGGAAAUUGUAUGAUUGUAAGGAAGAAAGUUACUAGGAAACGAAAUCAAAUUGUGCAUUAUUUGAAAGACUACAUAGUUUCAUUAUGUUUGUUAAUCAAAACAACAUGUAUCUUUUCAUAACUCUCUUUUUAGAGGAUUAAUUGUCUUUAGUUGGUGAAGUAAGUGCACUUUUAUAUUUCUCAUGCUUAUAGAGAGGUUAAUGGUGAUGCUGAUUGUAUACCUAAUCUUGGAUUGGCUUGUGUUUCUUAAAAUACUCUUAAAUUGACAUACAUCAUUACUUUUCAUAAACAGAAUUAUAAGGAAUAGGAAUUAAAAACAGAUCACCUUUCCUUCUUACAGUAACACCGAAAGCCUCAGUCGUAGAAGAUUUUCCAUCAUGGAGUUUCCAAUCGAAGUGGUAGAGCAUUUGAGACUAUUAAACAUUAGCCAUAUGGAAAGAUAAACCUGAGCACAUCCUCCUUCCAGCUCCAAAUAGGAUUCAAUUCAAAAUGAUUUCACUUGUAGCCAUGACCCUGGAAUCAUAUCCCCGAAUUUUGCAAGCCUCGCUACAUUCUCAUGUAAAAGCAAUGUAGCAGGAGGAUAUAAUCUAGAGUUUACAUCCUAUAACAGAUGGGAUUUUUCUGCCAUCAUGGCUACAUGAGCAAGUCGUGUACGUGUUUUGUUUUUUUUUUGGUCUCUCUUGCCCAGCAUGAUUUGAGAACAUCUUAUUCUUAACUUAAUUUACGUAGAAUAAAGUUGCAACGUUAGUUUUAUGCCCCACGUGCGCAUGCGCACGUAAAUAUAAAGUAAUUUUAUGUAAUAAGAGAAUUUUAUAUUUUAUUAAAGUAAUAGAUAAAUUAAAUGAAUAAAGAUACGUACACCUUCAAGGUUUGGAGAAAUGAUCAUAAAGACUCUUAAGUUUUUAAUAAGAGACACUAAUACAUUUUUUUUUAUUGUAAUACUCUUUAAUUCUACGAACUCAAAAAAAAUGACUUCAAAAUUUUCUAAUAAAUAUACAUUUUAGAAUAAUUUUAAUAUUUUAAAAUUUUUAAAAUAUUUUACAAUAUAUUAUACCUAUUUUAUUAUAAUAAAGCAAUUUUAAUAAUAAAUAGAAACAUGAUAUUAAAGAAAAUAAAUUUAAAAUUAAAAUUAUUUUGAAUAUUACGGAAAAAUAAUUUUAAUAUUAUUAAUAGGGAGAUAUUCUGUUAACUAUAAAGUCUAUUUAACUCAAAGAUUUAUUUAAAAUCUUUAUAAUAAAUACAAUUAUAUUAUUAAAAUAAAUAUAAUAAUUUAAAAUUUUAAUUUUUAAAUGUUAAAAAUAAUUUAAUAUUAUUAGUUUACUAGAUAGAUUAUAUUAUUUAUAUUAAAUUUGUAUAAAUUAAAAACUUUAAAGUCAAUUUUCUAAUUACUAUAUUGGAAGGGUAUUAUCAUCAAAGAAAAGAUGUUAGUGUACCUUUUUGAAAAUUUGAGGGUCUUUGUGAUCAUUUUCCCAAUUAUUGUGGGUGUGAGUGUAUUUUUUUCUAAAUUAAAAGAUAAAAAAAUAUAAAGUAAAAGAUCAUUUCAUAUUUUAUUAAAGUAAUAGAUUAAAAGAUAAAAAAUAUAAAUUUUAAUACAAUAAAUGACAAAAUACACUACAUUGGAGUGUAUGUUUUAUAAUUUUUAGCUUGUCUUUUAUUUUAUUAAAAUAAGAGAUUUUCUUAUUAUAAAUUACUAUAUACAUAGAGUGAGCUACAAGAUAAAAGAUAUAGGACCAAGCACAUUGCAUUAAAAUUUGUAUUUUUUUUAACUUAUUUAUGACUAUGAUAGUCACAUUUUCUAAUUAAAACAAAGUAUUCCACACACACAUAAAUAUUUAAUCAUUAUUUUUGGAUGCACAAGUACACACAAAUUUUUAAAAUGAGUACAAAUUUUCACAAAUAUCUCUUAGAUAACGUGAAAAUUAUGCCCACAACAAUUUUUCUUAAUUUUCAAAGGCGGCUGACUAGAAUGAAGAGGCUGCUCGACUUGGUACUUCGGUAGAAGUGUCGUAAAGUUUAUGCUGCCUGUUAUUUACGAGCUUUUAUCUUUCUAAAAUGAUCCUCCCCAUUGAUUCAGUUCAGAUUAAUUUAUUAAGUUCUACUUGAUUUCUUUGUAAGGAAGUUGUCUAUUCUAAUUCCAUUCGAAGAAACUAUUCGUCACAUUGCAGUUUUCAAUCCUACUAGUGGAAAACCAUUUGCUAAAAUCUGCUUAAUCGUAGUCCCUGAACUUGAAGGCAACUCAUUACUCUUUUGAUAUUAAACUUAUAAAAAAAAAUAGAGCAUAAGAAUAAUACAGCAUUAUGAAAACUGUACAAUAAUAAAUUAUAAACGUUAAAAGCUACUGGGAGAAAAUUAAAUCAAAUUGAAUAGUAAAUACCGAUAAAAUAGUAGAUCCGACACAAAUAAUUGAAUAUUAAAUUAAGAGAGCUGCUACCUUACGUUAAACGUAAGGUACAACUCUCUCUACGUAAAUAAUUAAAUAUUAAAUUAAAAGAAUUACUACCUUAUAUUUAACGUAAGGUACAAUUUACUUUACAGUAAUGGAUUUUAUUAAAACCUACUUUCUAACUAUGUGAGAGAAAAUAUCUUGUGUUAAAUGUAAGGUAUACAAACCCUCAAAUUGAAUGGUCGAAAACAAAAGUAAUAAGAUAAAACGUUGAUAUAAGGAGAGAGGUUGAAGUGAUAAGACAGGUGUUUCAAUUUCAGUCUCAUACAUACGUAAACGUGAGAGGGAGAUAUUCACUGCAGCUUACGUUCAAUGCGGUACCUCAUACAGACGGAGCCCACCCAUUUUAAGGAGCACUGGCCACUAUUUACAAGGUUUUGGUCCCACUUUUUUUGCCUAUACAGUAAUUAGUUUUUGGAGUUUUUCACUAUCUAUAAUCAUGUUUUGUAGAACAGAAUUUGCAUGUGUCAGCAUGCUUAAUAAGGUCAUACGUCAUUUCAGUCACUUCAGUAGUGUUUUAUUACGUGACUCAUUAUAUUGUAGGGUCAUACGUCAGUUUAGACACUAAUUUUUCUCCUUUUUGAUGCUAAACUUAAUUCAGUGAGUACGACUUUUGUUUCAUUUUUUGACCCAUUCUACAAAUGACAAACCAUCCGUGGACCAACCUGCCACCGGUCUCACAUAAGUCCUCCUUAUACAGCAACAAACUUUUUCUUUGGUUGCUGGAGGAUCUCAAGAUCAUGUAUACUCAAAACUUUUUCUUUCUUAUUACUUUUUCAUUAAUUUUCUGUCUUUCUUAUUCCUUUUUCAUUAAUUUUCUGCACAAAGCACAAUUAAUUGGAUAUACGUUCAAAAUAAUUCUUCCAUAUUCCAUCUUUUUCGUCGAGCCAGCAUCUUCAACAUUUUUCUUCUUCGUCGCCUUAUACACUUUAAAGCUAAUGACCACAUAAAUUAACAUAUUAACAAAAUUAAAAAUAACAAAAAAGGAUUAAUAGAAACAUCUUAAUAUAUUUUUGGAACUUGCCCACAAAUCUUUUAUGAUCUCUAAGUACAAUAUAAAUUCAAUUCGGCACCGAAUAAAAGAGAUGAAGUUAAGGUUAGCACAAAUAAUUGUAUGAUUAAUGGAUGUGUUAGAUGGGUGUCCAAAGUUGUUAUAGUUUAAACUAUUUUUCUAAAUUAUUCUUAAUAUUAAAUUAUAUGAAGAUUAUUUUAGUAUCAUAAUUUUUUAGCCAAUAUGGUGUUCAAAGUACAUUUUAGAGUACAAAUGAUCUCACUCGUAAAUAAAAUACACCAAAAUUUAAUAGUAAACUAACCAACGGAACUCCUUAAUUGAGUUAUUUGGCAACUCUUCUCUCCCUUAUUCAUUAGGGGGAGGAUUCAAAUCUUCCAAUCUCCCAAAAUUAUAAAAGUACAAUUAAAAAAAAUAGUAAAAUGAUUAUUUUUAUUAAAAAAAAUUGCUUGUUAUUGUUGAUAGCUACUGCCACUCCUUAUCAUCGGCAGACCCACGAAGGGAACACUAGCAAUUAGAAAUAUAUUAUAUUACUAUUAUUGAUAAAAGCUAAAAAUGUGGUUCACAUAUUAUUUGUCUAAAUCCCUGGUGGUACAAGUAUUUUAAGGAUUAGAAUCAUGAAAUUUAUUAAAUGCACUUAUAAUGAUGUUAAUUUAUUUGAAAUAGAAUUUUUGAAAAAUUGGUUAAUAGAAGAAAUUCUGAUAAAAAUAAUAUUCCCUUAAAAUAUCAUUGGAACUCUUAAGUAAAAUAUUUUAAGUGAGCCCCCAAUGAUCUUUUUUUUUUAAAAAAAAAAAAAUUCAUCUUCAAAAUGAAUUAGAGAAUUUAUUUUAGAUAAGUCCUGCAGAAAGUAAAUUUUUAUUUUUAUGAUAUCAUUGGAGUCACUAGAAACAGCCCCCAAUAAAAUGUUUGGAUCAUUUAGUAACUAGAAAUAGACUUUGGCUUUAAGAAUAACUAAAAUAUAUUUAUUUAGUUAAAAUAAUUGAAAUAUUUUGCUUGGUAGGGGUAACUAAAAUAAAUGUAAGUUAAAUAAUUAUGGCUUUCUUGGAAUAUUAUUAUUGUGAAAUUAAAGGAUAGAUAGGUUUUCAAAAUAAUUUACGGUCAUUACGCUAGUAGUUAGUUAAUGUACGCACAAUAUCACAAUGUGCAAGUUGCAUAAGAAAGCUGAAAAAUGAUAUGUAUCCCAUCAUCAAUGAACCCCACCUCAAUCUUAUCAAUAAUAAUUUUGAUAAAAUUAUUAAAGAUAAAAUAGAUUCUCCAUUAUACAAGUGAAAAAUUAUAUCAACAUAACUUUCAAGUUAUAGCAGCUAGUGUUUACCAAAUACUUUACUGCUGUAACUUUUAAGCUGCAGCUGUCUAACCUUAAUCUCAAACGCACCCAUAAUAUGUUGAGAUAACGGUCGAAGAGUAUUUUAUCAUAUGGAUUAAUAAUGCAUCCCCCAAUCAGAUCCAUUGACUUUUUUAAUAUUAAAUUUAAUGAUCCCAACGUAGGAUCACUACUGAGCACAUGACAAAGUACCAACGAAAGUGUUCCACUGCCUCAUCGUUUCUCUCUAUAUAUAGAGCAUUUGUGUCUUGAGGUUUUUGCAACUCCUACUCUUAAAAACAAACUAUAAAGUUGUAUUUGAUUUGUCUGAAACGGAAUGAAAGAUAUGUCUAUUCCACUUCUAGCAGCAGUUUCCAGUUCAACUGAAGAAACUGUUCGUCCCAUUGCAGAUUUUCAUCCUACUUUAUGGGGAAACCAUUUCCUGAAAUCCGCUGCCGAUGUCGAGGUAAUUAAAAAAUUGCAAUAUCAAAAUAUCUCAUUAAUUAUCAGAGAAGCAAGCCCAAUCGAUGUACAAUCAUAUGUCAUAUGUAAUCGUUUGUUAGACAUACGUAAUGCAUUAAUAUUAAGUAAUUUCUUGCGUUUGCAGACAAUUGACGCUGCAACUCAAGAACAGCACGCAGCACUGAAGCAAGAGGUCAGGAGGAUGAUAACCACUACUGCCAAUAAGCUUGCCCAAAAACUACACAUGAUUGAUGCAGCACAACGAUUAGGUGUCGCUUAUCAUUUUGAAAAAGAGAUUGAAGAUGAAUUGGGAAAGGUAUCUCAUGAUCUUGACAGUGAUGAUCUAUACGUUGUUUCUCUUCGUUUUCGACUUUUUAGGCAGCAAGGAGUUAAGAUUUCAUGUGGUAUGUAAUAGUUUCUCAUUUUGUUAAUUAAACUAUUUAUGUUAAUUAUAAGAUUAUUGUUGAUUAUCAAAUUAAAUUUAAGCAUGUACACUAAUCGAGACUAGCUCGCCUCUUUUGAAUAUGGUCAUCAGAUGUGUUUGAGAAGUUCAAAGAUGAUGAAGGUAAAUUCAAGGAAUCAUUGAUCAACGAUAUACGAGGCGUGUUGAGUUUGUACGAGGCAGCAUCCCUAGCAAUUCGGGGAGAAGACAUUUUAGAUGAAGCCAUUGUUUUCACUACCACUCACCUUAAUUCAAUAAUAUCUAUAUCUGAUCAUUCUCAUGUAAACUCUAAUCUUGCUGAAAAAAUACGUCAUUCUCUGCAAAUUCCUCUCCGUAAAGCAGCAGCAAGGUUAGAGGCAAGGUAUUUUUUGGAUAUCUAUUCAAGAGAUGAUUUGCAUGAUGAAACUUUGCUCAAGUUUGCAAAGUUACACUUUAAUAUAUUACAAGCAGCACACCAGAAGGAAGCAAGUAUCAUGACCAGGUAACUUCAGAUAUAUAUUCUUUCAACGUGGAAAAGCCUAUUAUUGGUGUUGUUUUGAAAUGGGAGAUUGUCACUUUCCCUAAAAAAGAGAAAUCAUAUUUACCAGUUGCCCCCUUGUAUAAUCAAAGACUCAACGCAAAAUAUCUUAUAAUAGUUAAUUAUUUAUUUAUUAACACCCAAACCAAGACCUUUAGUUUGCAGUAAAAUUUUUAUGUAUUCUAGAUUUGUCAACAGUGGUAGUGGUUGUAGUUUUUGUAUAUUAUAUGCUUGUUGCUAAUAAUAAUAAUAAUAAGUUAUAGUGUUUGGAGGAUAAUGUGUAUAAUGAAAGAGUAAUGAUACAAUUAAAAUUUUUUUAAGAACGGAUGUGAUAUAAAUUCAUAAAUUAGAUGAAAAUACAAAAUAAUAAAAAUAAAUCACAUAAAUUUCUCUCUCUCUCUCUUUUUCUUUUUUUUAAAGAAACAAAUUUUCCAAAUACAAUAUGGUAGAUUUCCAACUUCUCUUUAAAAUUUUUAACUUUUGUCACUUACCCCUCGAGUUUUCAUAAUUCCUUGCUACCUCCUUAAAAGAUGAAACCAAAUUGUGUUCUUCUUUGUAUUUCUUAUAUACUACAGAAAUAACGAUUGUUAUAGUGACAACUUUAUAAUGUAGCAAAAUAUCUAUCUAAUUAGAUUUAAAAUUGAAUUUCAGGUGGUGGAACGAUUUAGGCUUCCCUAAAAAGGUGCCUUAUGCAAGAGAUAGAGUAGUAGAGACGUAUAUUUGGAUGUUGCUAGGAGUGUCCUAUGAGUCCAAUUUGGCAUUUGGUAGAAUUUUUGCAUCCAAAGUGGUGUGCAUAAUAUCCAUAAUAGACGACACAUUUGAUGCUUACGGUACUUUUGAAGAGCUCACACUUUUUACUGAAGCAGUCACAAGGUUAUAAAACCAUAUACAUCCCUAUAUAGCAGUUGUUAAGUUGCGUUAUCUGUAUUCUAUAGGUUACAAUAACCUAAAUAAUGGGGACAUCAUGAGUGACUAUUAGGGUUGCUGCAUGUUAUACAUGAUGCAACUUAGCAAGACCCCAUGCCUAUAGAAUAAAAGAUUAUUAUCGUUUCAUUACUUCAAGAAUUAUAAAAUAUCAAAUAAGUACAAGAAGUAUUGUUCCCCAUCAUUUUACUACUAUAACUUUGUAAAACCUUUUAUUUUACUACUUUUCUGUUAGAAUCGUUAGCUGACUAAUAAAAUAUUAAUUUUACCCCUUAAGAUAAAACGCACAAAAGAGGUAUCCGAUAGUAUACAUAAAAUUAUGAAUAAUAGAUUUAAACAUGAAUUGUUAAAUAAUAGUUUUAACUUUUAACCAUAAUUUUUUGAAUAACCCUUGAUUUAUUGCGACCAUAAAAGUAGUGAAUUGACAAAAAUACCACUGGAAAUUUUUGCCCAAAAAAACUCACAAUCUAUUCUAGAAGAAAAAAAAAUUAAAUAUGGAAGUGUUGAUUCUGUAAAUAAGCUUUAAGUGUUUUUUUAAAGAAUAAAUUGUGUUUUUUUAAGAAAAAUAUCUAGGAGUAUUUUGUUAAUGACCAUUUUUAUGGUUACGAUAAAUUUAGGGUUAUUCAUAAAGUCAUAUUUAAAACCAUUAUUUUAUAGUUAAAGGGCAUGCCAAUAAUUUUUGUCUAUUAUUUAAUACCCCUAUUUGUGUAUUUUAUCGUAAAAGGAAAAAUUGAUAUUUUACUAAUCAACUAAUGAUUUUAACGGAAAUUAAAAGUAGUAAAAUGAUAGAAGAUAAUACUUCUUAUAGUCAUAUGAUAUUUUACAACUCUUGAAGUAGUGAAACAAUAAUAACCCUAUAAUGUAAUUCUUUGAUUGGAUAUUUAAUUCAUAAUAUACUUUUAUUAGAAACAAAUUAAUUGUAUCGCUUAUAUAUUUUCUUAAGAACGAGCAAAUAUAACGAUUAUAUUUGAUUUUUUCAGAUGGGACAUUGGCCUCAUAGAUACACUGCCAGAAUACAUGAAAUUUAUUUUCAAGGCACUCUUAGAUAUUUAUAGAGAAGCUGAGGAAGAAUUGGCGAAGGAAGGAAGAUCGUACGGCAUACCAUAUGCAAAACAGAUGGUAAGCAGUUCCUUUAUUAAUAAUCUAUUUCAUGUUAUAUGAUUUUGCAAGGUGAUUAUUAUUGACUUGGGUUAUGUUGCUCAGAUGCAAGAAUUAAUUAUAUUGUACUUUACCCAAGCCAAGUGGUUAUAUAAAGGUUAUGUUCCAAGCUUCGAUGAAUACAAAUCAGUUGCAUUAAGAAGUAUCGGUUUACGUACGCUAGGGGUCGCUUCCUUCGUUGAUUUGGGUGAUUUUAUUGCAACGAAGGACAAUUUUGAAUGCAUUCUUAAAAACGCUAAGAGUGUUAAAGCGACAGAAACCAUUGUCAGGCUCAUGGAUGACAUAGCAGGUUAUAAGGUAAAUAAUACUCUUCAUUCUACAUUAUAAUUCAAUUUAAUAAGACUAUAUUCACCACUAAUCUCGAAGAGAAAUCUUGUAACGUAUCUUAAGGCGUGUCACCAUAGUAUACAAUUUCUUUAUCUAUUUUAAAGGUAGAGAUGUGGGUGAAGCCCACAUCAAUUUUUCUAACACCUAGCUUCUCCAGAUUCAAACUUAGAAAUUGUCAAUAAAAUAAAGAUUGUUGAAAACCAUUCGGCCUUUGCGGCUGCAUUUCUUUUCAACUCUCUUUAACACAUAACAACACAUAACAUAACAUAUAUGCCCAAGGAAAAAAACAAAAAAAAAAAAAUUAGCUAACUGAUGAUUUUCUUUUUCUUUUUUUUUGGGUUCUCUUAUAAUCAAUUCAUAUGCAUCCGUGAUGUAGUUUGAGCAAAAGAGAGCACAUAUUCCCUCAGCAGUUCAGUGCUACAAGAAUCAACAUGGUGUCUCUGAGGAAGAGGCGGUUAAAGAGUUGUUGUUAGAAGUUGCUGACAGUUGGAAAGAUAUAAAUGAGGAGCUUCUCAACCCAACGACUGUCCCGUUACCCAUGCUUCAGCGGAUUCUUUAUUUCGCACGUUCAGGCCAUUUUAUCUACGACGAUGGUCAUGAUCGCUUCACCCAUUCGUUGAUGAUGAAACGCCAAGUUGCCUUGUUGCUGACGGAACCCCUUGCGAUAUGAAGAUUAACGUCAUGCUAUUGAUUUUCCAUCGGGUAUAUUUGAGCAGUUGUAAUAAAUGAAGGUCGUGCUGGCUAUUUAGCUAGCUACUCAUGCCUAGCUAGAAAAUGUGUCGCCAAAGAACUGUGGUCCUUCUAGUUAAAAAAUUAAUAAUAAAAUAUUUUUCUUCUAAUUUCUUUAUUAUUUUAUAAAUAUUUUCUUGUAAUAAAUAUACAGUAAAACUUAUAAAUAGUCAUAUUGUUAGGACUGAAGAAAUUUAUUCUUAUAAAGAACUUAUAACUCAAUAGAAGUAUAGUACAAAAAUUAUUAUUUUUGCACUACUAAAAAAAUACGUUUUCAUCACACAUUUAACAUAUAUCAUUGUGUCAUGAAAAUAUCAUUAAAAUAUGACACUUUCCUAAUGUAUAAUGUUUUUGUCAUUAUUUAGUGAUAGAUUUUUGACAGAUACAUAUACGAUAUGAAAUUAUGAUCGCUACGUGUCAUGUAAUAUUAUAUUAUUUUUUAAAUAAAUUUAAUUACAAAAAUACUACUCUUAAAUGACAACGUUUUAGAUUUUGUUUUAUUAAAUAUAAUCUAUUUUGAAUUACUAACAACACGUGAAAUAGUGCCAUUUAUUGAUAAUUUAAAUUAUUUGAUUACUUUAAUUAUAAAAUUGCCAUUGUUAAUAUUUAAAUUAUUCUUAAAAAAUUAAAAAUAACAAAAAUGAUGUCGUCUGGUUGCGUAAAUAUAUUAAACUAACAAAUCAACACCUAGCAAAUUUCCAGAAGUGAUAAACGAAUUGAACCUUAAGCUUUGCUUCCUCACUCUCUUCACUGCUCCUUCUCUCACCUGUAAUAGUUGAAGGAAUUGAACCCUAACCCUAAGCCUCACUGUAUUCACUCACACUCUACAUUACAAAUUAGCCUAAGCCUCACAAAAUUUCUUAAUUGAAAAAAAUCGAGAGCCCUUACAACAUCACAACUGAUGGAAACCCUACGUCAACAAACUCGACAGUCGUCAAUCAACUGUCGUUGCAAGCUACUGGUCGCUCAACAAGCCCCAAUUUCUCACUCAAUAGUUGUCACUCAAACGCUGCCAUUUCCUAUUCAUUAUUUGCUUUAUCUAAAUUAAAAAAUCAAAAUCACUUUAAAGAUGUUGGGCUACGAGAACAUGAGGAGCAAAGAUGUCGACAAAUUCGAGGUAGAUUUGGAAGGCGGAGAGGGGGAAACGCUUUACCCCAGUCUCAGCUACGGAGAGAACCUGCUCUGAUGGGGUUUCAUUCUUAAGGUGUGCGAAAUCUUGAUGGCCCAGAUCGUUUUGACCACUUUGGUCUCCUCAAUCACUAUUCUUUACACUCCCGUCAAUGAUCUUCUCAAGGGCAAUUCUAGCCUUCUCCUCUUCCUCCCUGUCCUCCUCUUC
rnacentral:lncRNA from 1 species